rnacentral:lncRNA from 1 species
CUGCACGCCAAGAACAAGCUCAUACACCUUCUUUUUGUCAGCAAGAGAUUUCGAAACACUCUCUCUCUGCAUGCACCUCUUGGCCCAUGCAAUGAGCUUGGGACACUCGGCUUCGAUGCUGAAGUUUCCACAGGUCUCAUAUGCAUGGAACCAGCAGUAGAACGUGAUGAGAGCAAUGUCCAAGAACCCAAAUUUCUCACCCUCAAAAUAUGGCUUGUGUUAAAAUGCAUGAAAUAAACAUGUUGGAAUAAUGGUGAAAUUAGGCUAGUCAACUUUCUUGUUCAAAGUUAGGCAAGUUAGGUUAGUCAAGCAAGAUAGGUAAGUUAGGCAAAAUUAGGCUUAUGAUCUUUUUCUUCCCUAUAUAUAUGUUUCAUCUUGUAAUUGUUUCAUCAAGCAAAUAUACAUCAAAAUUCAAUAUGGUAUCAGAGCUGUGAUCUGGGAAAAACCACAAAACACAUCUCUAAAGCAACCACGAGGUCAACCAUUCUAGGCAUGGCCUCUCAUUCAAAAUGGGAAAAUCCCAACCACCCGCUCUAUCUCCACUCGGAUCAACCUGGUGCAAUCCUCGUACCACAACCAUUGGUGGAAGACAACUACAACACAUGGGUUCAAUCCAUGAGUAUGGCCUUAACGGUCAAGAACAAACUUGGUUUUGUUGAUGGAACGAUCAACAAACCAAGUGAGGAUAAUUUUGAGGAGCUGCAGCAAUGGAAUCGCUGCAACAACUUGGUCAAGACAUGGCUACUAGGCUCCAUGUCAAAGGAGAUUUCAGGGAGUGUCAUCAACUACAAGGAUGCUCGACAAAUGUGGACCGAUCUGCAGGAGAGGUUCUCACAUGUGAAUAUAGUUCAGCUGUUCCAUGUUGAGAACGAGAUCCAUGAUUGCGUCCAAAGCAAUAUGAGUGUAAGUUCUUACUUCACUAAACUUAAAAGUUUAUGGGAUGAACGUGAUACUUUGUGUUCCAUUCCAGCAUGCAGUUGUGGAACAAAGAAUGAGAUGAACUCAUAUGUUGAAACUCAGAAAACCAUGAAGUUCCUUAUGGGACUGAACGAAUCGUAUGCUACGGUUCGAAGCAAUACUCUUCUUCUCGAACCACUGCUUACGAUGAACAAGGCAUAUGCGUUGGUCAUUCGACAUGAACGCCAGGCAGAGGUUUCCAAUGGGAAAAGCACACAACUAGAAACUGCUGUCUUUGCAGUGAAGAAUCUGUCGCGAGAACCUACCUGAAGACAAGGAGAUGCGAUGUCACAUCACCAAAAAUUGUCGUGCACAUCUCAAGUGCACUUUUUACGGAUGGAAAGGCCACACCUUCGAUUUCUGUCGAAAACGGAAAGCAGCCACAGAGACCGAAUCCAAUCGUCUCUUUUCUUCAAAGGGGAAUCAAGUUUCACAAAGUAACAAGCAAGAGACAGUGCCUAAUUUCCCGUUCUCUCAGGAAGACUGCAAGCAAAUCCUUCAGAUGUUGAACAAGAACAACUCAUCAUUUGCCAAUCAAGUCAAUAAUCUUCCUAGUCAUGAAGAACUUUCAGGUAAAGCCUUCUCUUUUUCAUGUAAAGGAACCAAAAGUAUUUGGAUCCUGGACAGUGGUGCCACGGAUCACAUAGUUUGCAGUCCUAGUCUCUUUACACACUCACGAGCUGUUGAAAAUCAUACAGUUGAACUGCCAAAUGGUUCCGUUGCCAAAGUCACUCACAUUGGACAAGUUGUUUUCUCUCAUAAUCUUAUCCUUGAAAAUGUCCUAUGUGUGCCGUUCUUUAGGUUGAAUUUAAUAUCUAUCAGUAAACUAGCCUAUGAUUCCUUAUAUGUCACCAUUUUCUUCACCCAAUUUUGUGUCAUUCAGGACCUUCGCUCGGGGAAGAUGAUUGGGACAGGAACUGAAAGGGAUGGACUUUACUACCUCGACCCAUCAAAGAAAGGAACAUGCAACAAUAUUCAAACCGUCUCACCAAAGCUUUGGCACCAACGCCUAGGACACCCAUCUCAUAAAGUCACUUCGUUAUUACCUUUAUUUAACAAUAAGGCUUGUGAUUUGGAAAAAUGUUUAAUUUGCCCAUUGGCCAAACAAACAAGAUCACCCUUUCCUUUGAGCUCUAUUUCUACCAAAUCAUGUUUUGAAUUAUUGCAUAUUGAUAUUUGGGGUGGUUAUCAAGUUGCUUUCUAUUUCAGGUGCCAAGUAUUUCCUUACCAUCGUAGAUGACUACACUAGAAGCACUUGGGUUUAUUUGAUGAAACAUAAAUCUGACACAAAAGACAUUUUAGUCGGAUUCAUUCAAAUGAUUGAGACUCAAUUCAAUACCAGAGUUCAAAUCAUACGAAGUGACAAUGGCCUUGAGUUUAAGCUUGAGCAAUUUUAUGCUCUCAAAGGCAUCAUACAUCAAUCUAGUUGUGUCAACACACCACAACAAAAUGGUGUUGCCGAACGUAAACACCGGCAUUUGCUCAACGUUGCUCGGGCUUUGCUCUUUCAAGCUUGUUUGCCAAAACGUUUUUGGGGGGAUGCAAUCUUAACCUCAGCCUACCUCAUCAAUAGAACACCCACUCCACUUCUCCAAGGUAAAACACCUUACGAAAAACUGUUUCACAAAGCACCUAACUAUUCCCAUUUAAAGGUUUUCGGUAGUUUAUGUUUUUCUUCUACACACGCCCAAAGGCCCUCUAAAUUCGACCCCUGUGCAAUCCAAUGCAUUUUUCUUGGGUAUCCUUAUGGUCAAAAGGGUUAUAAAUUGUUUGAUAUAAAACACAAUAAGACUUUUGUUUCUAGGGAUGUUGUUUUUUUUGAAGAUCAUUUUCCAUUCCAAAAUCAUACCACUUCCGCUGCCCCGUCUCCAUCAAACAUUACACCCUCACCCAUCACGUUUGACUUGACCUCUCCCAUUGAGUCGCACUCAAGCCUUGCACCCGAAGAAAUAAACAUCACCUCUCCCACACUUGCCAACAUCACACCACUCUCAUCUCCUUUACCUACUACAACUCCACCACCAGAUACCUUAUCAACACCUUCACAUACCCUACACUCUUCACCACCUCCAACAACUCCAUCACCAGACCAACCACCUCCACUCCGUCGUAGCACUCGACCGACCAAAACUUCCACAUUUUUGCAGGACUUUCAUGUUGAGGUGGCCCUCCCUUCCCGUGUUGCUCCCACAUCUUCCACAAGCAUGGUCCAGUCAUCAGGUACAUCUCACCCCAUAUCUCGUUAUUUAUCUUAUGACCAUGUAUCCCCCACUCACAAAACAUUUCUCACCACCCUCACCAUUAUCAAAGAACCCACCAGUUUUUCGCAAGCUGUUCAGGAUCCAAAAUGGCGUGACGCCAUGCAAAAAGAGAUUGUUGCCCUUCAUGACAAUCGCACUUGGACUCUUGUGCCCUUACCACCUCACAAACAUCCCAUCGGUUGCAAAUGGAUCUAUAAGGUGAAGCUUAAACCUGACGGCAGUGUUGAACGCUACAAAGCUCGUCUCGUUGCUAAAGGCUACAGUCAAAUUGAGGGGCUUGAUUAUCGGGAAACUUUUGCUCCAGUUGCCAAGCUCACCACCGUCCGCGUCCUCCCGAGUAUUGCCUCCAUACGAGGCUGGCAUCUUCAUCAACUUGAUGUGAACAACGCAUUUUUGCAUGGUGACUUAUACGAGGAGGUUUAUAUGUCCUUGCCUCCUGGGUUCGGACGAAAGGGGGAGACACGAGUAUGCAAAUUACACAAAUCCAUUUAUGGUUUAAAACAGGCCUCGAGACAAUGGUUUAUCAAGUUGUCUAGUGCUCUCAAGACUGCUGGUUUUCAUCAAUCAUGGUCAGAUUACUCAUUGUUCGUCCGAAACCGUCAAGGCAGUUUUAUGGCAUUACUUGUGUAUGUUGAUGACGUGAUACUUGCAGGUAACAAUUUGAGAGAAAUUGAAGAGACUAAACUCUUCCUUUCCCAACAUUUUAAACUAAAGGAUUUGGGAAAACUCAAAUACUUUUUGGGGAUAGAAGUUGCAAGAUCUAAACAAGGGAUUGCCUUGUGCCAACGCAAAUAUGCGUUGGAGAUACUAGAAGAUGCUGGGUUCCUUGGUGCGAAGCCCUCACGAUUACCAAUGGAACCAAACCUGUCCCUUACACAAACUGAUGGGACGCUCCUACAUGAUCCUUCUUCAUACAAGCGACUCGUAGGGAGGCUGAUUUACUUAACCAUCACGCGGCCUGACCUGACUUAUGUGGUUAAUAUGUUGAGCCAAUUCAUGGACAAGCCACGACAACCACACCUUGAAGCGGUGCAUAAGGUUCUCAGGUACAUCAAACAAUCUCCUGGACAGGGAAUUCUUUUGCCUUCUACAGGUUCACUACAAUUACAAGCCUUUUGUGAUGCUGAUUGGGCUCGGUGUAAAGACACUAGAAGGUCAAUAACCGGUUAUUGUAUCUUCCUUGGACAAGCACCGAUAUCUUGGAAAACGAAGAAACAAAGCACAAUAUCUCGUUCUAGUGCAGAGGCAGAAUACCGUUCUAUGGCUACUACUUGUUGUGAAGUUAUAUGGCUAAGAAACAUUUUGAAGGAUUUGCAAGUAAAUCAUGUACAACCAGUCACAAUGUUUUGUGAUAAUCAAGCUGCCAUGCACAUUGCUUCGAACCCAGUGUUUCAUGAACGAACGAAGCAUAUAGAGAUAGACUGUCACCUAGUACGUGAGAAGAUUCAAAUGGGAAUGGUGCAAACAGCUUACAUACGGACCUCGAAUCAACCUGCAGACUUGUUCACCAAACCACUAAGCUCGGCACAAUUUGAGGUCUUAAUUAGAAAGUUGGGUGUCAUCGACAUUCACACUCCAACUUGAGGGGGAGUGUUAAAAUGCAUGAAAUAAACAUGUUGGAAUAAUGGUGAAAUUAGGCUAGUCAACUUUCUUGUUCAAAGUUAGGCAAGUUAGGUUAGUCAAGCAAGAUAGGUAAGUUAGGCAAAAUUAGGCUUAUGAUCUUUUUCUUCCCUAUAUAUAUGUUUCAUCUUGUAAUUGUUUCAUCAAGCAAAUAUACAUCAAAAUUCAAUAGCUUGUCUCCAAGCUGUCCCUCCAACUGCUUCAGGAUUUCGAUAAAAUCCUUUUUUGCAGCCUCUUGUUCCUCUCCCUUUGUCAACCAUAUCUUCGAGCCAGCAUCAUAUAGCUGCAAUUUUAAGACAAGAUUGCAUCAGAUCAUUGCUAUAGCGAGUUCAGUGGGAUUAAUUAAAUUUUGAAUUCAGAGGGAUUAAUUAAAUUUUGACUUAUUUUCUAAUUCCGGCGGCUAUAUUUGGAUAGGGUUUUGUACGUUCCAAUGAUUGAACUUAAGUGUAGCAAGAAAUGGAUCACAAAAUAGCAGGGAUCACAAAAUAGCAGAGAUCACAAAAGCCGUUCAUAAAAAUUAACGAGGCAUGCAAGAGAGAUUUGUAAAGAAAGUCGGAGUGACAACAGGUCUGCACAUGUGGUAAAUUCAUAAACUUACCACGUAAACAAUACAACAAGAUAAUGUGAAGCGCGUGACCAUUUAGCUUUACAAGAGGACCAUACUUUGUUACCAUGAAAAAAAUUGAAAUUAUACCGUAAAAUCAAUUGGUAAUAUGAAGAUUGAUCCCACUAAUUUAUGUGAGUCUAAGUGUUUUUUAUUAAUUUUUAAAUACUUAAGGAUUAAUUAGGACGGUGAGCAAUCGUCUAACAUUUAAAGACAAAUCAAAACAAUGGCUAAAUUUAAAGACAAAUCAAAACAAUGGCUAACGAUCUAACACCUAGGUGGGCUAGACGGCGAUAAACGAGAACUUUUAGAAUAAUACCUCCACAUAGCCUAUAAAAAUUUGUAUUCUACUCCCAUGUAGGAUACAGACUUGAAGAUUGUACCUCAUCUAACUAUUCAUCCAAUAGAAAAGAAUGUGGGCUCUACCGCAUAUAUAUCAAAUUUUAAUGAAACUCAUGAAAACCCCAAAUCACAUCCUAACAGGAACCUAAAAAACAAACAAUUAAUUAGAACAAGAAACAACUCAGACAAUUUAAGUUACCUUCUUGUCAAUGCAAUCAGCCCAGAAACCUUGAGUGAGCUUUCUGGUAAGGCUCAGAGGGAAGCAAAGGAGCUUUAUCCCUCCAAACCUCAUCAAUAUACUGCACAAUGAUGAGUGACUCGCAGACCGGCUUACCGUUAUGAAUGAGAACCGGGAUCUUCUUGUGAACCGGGUUCAUCUGCAGAAGCAGCUGGCUCUUAAUCUUAUUCCUCAAGUCCUCCUCUCUGUACUCAUACUUGGCGCCCUUCUCCGCCAGCGCUACUCUGGCCCUCAUGCCAAACAUGCUUGCCCAGUAGUCCAGAAGAAUAACCUCAUCCGCCAUUUUUGACACACACAUUCACAACUACUUCUAGCUGUAGGCUAUAGUGUUUUACUUGAUGCUAAAAUAUUCCAGAUUGAUAUUCACACGGGCAGAAGAGGAUAUAUAUAUGGAAUCCGAAUUCUCGCUGGAUCUUUUUUUUGUAAGAAUUCCGAAGAUUCGCAAAUACAACAAACGUAUGUAAUUCACGGUUUUUUAAGAUUCUUAUUAAAAGAAUCCGAAGAGGAUCGGUAAGAUAUAUAUGUAUCUACACAUACGUGGCAAUACGGAUGUGGCUGAUUUUUGUAGGGUGUGACGUGGCAUGCUGUAUGCCAUUACUUUCGGUGAUGUAAGUUAGAUAUUUUCGAGAGAGUAUUCUGGCUUGAUUAUUUUUUGUGAGGAUCCUGGAAAUUCUUUAAUUUAUUUAUUCAUCAUACGAUUAGAAAUUAUUAUAAUUUUUUUUAUUUAAAAUUGAAUAUAAACAAUACUUAAUAAAACCUAACUGCAUAAUAUACGAUGAAUACAUAUAAUUGAAAGAUCUUAGAAAUUCUCACAUAAAAAAAUCCGACGAAUAUCCCCUUUUGAUAUUUUCAUGCAUAUUUGGAGACCAUAUGUUCUUUCUUUUUCUUGGUGAAAUUGGACACCACAUCUUUGAAAAUGAAUUCAUUCUUUUAUAGAUAAUUCUAGAGGAUUACUUUCUAGAGGAUUACCUUCUAUUGAUAAUUCUAGAGGAUUACUUUUGAUAGGAAUUCAUUCUUAUAUAUAAUUCAUUCUUAGAGUCUAAACAUGAUUACACAUCCUUUUAUAGGUAAUAAUCUUUGGAAUUGUGACAGAAGUAUUUGAUUUACCAAUUACCACACCCAAUUCUUAAUGGCCUUCAACUUUAAUUAAAUUAAAACAAUGAUCACUCAACUAAAAAUUUAUUAAUAUUGGUCUUUUAACUCAUCAAAAUGUUUAGAUAUGGUCAUUUUCUUCAACUACGUCAGAAUUUUGUCAAAAUUAGUUAUAUUGAAAUGACUAUUGCUCCAAUUGAGUUAAAGUUGAGAGGUCAUUGCUCUGAUUGGGUUAAGUUGAGAUACCAUUGCUCUGAUUGGGUUAAAGUUAAGGGACAAUUUCUCCAGUUGAAUUAAAGUUAACAGACCAUUGAUACAAUUUUUCUUAUUUGAUUUUCCAUAUUUGCCCUUUGAUUUAGCCUCACUUGCAUGACACGUGCCUCAUUUUGACGAAAGUUCUAACAGAGUUGAUGAAAAUGACUAUAGUUACAUGUUUUGAUGAGUUUAGGAACCCAUGACAAUGAAUUUUUAGUUGAGGGACCAUUACUCCAAUUAGAUUAAAAUUGAGGAACCAUUGCUACAAUUUAUUCUUCUUUCAUUGUAUUCAUAAAAUAAAUAAAAAAGAGAGAUUAUAUAUUCUAUAUGAAAAAGAAACAUUUAGAAUGCAGAAAUUCAUAAAAUUCAACUUUGAAUUUCAUAUUAGUAGUUAUCAUUUUUAAUAAGAUUAUUCUAGUAAAAAAAAAAUGAUAGUGUAAUUAAUUACUUUAGUCUAAAAGUAAGGGGGGAAAUUGCACUGUACGAAUAUGUAGUUUUUGAAUUUGAAUUUCACUUUAUUUACGAAAGUGCCAAGUAGGGGAAGGGGUGGAGAAAAACCUUUUUGCAAAGAGUCUACCGCUUUAUGUGAAAAGCACGACAAAGUCAUGCAUGCAUUAUUUGUUUUGUUUUGGUUUUGGCAUAAUCGGAUAGAUAGUCCUCAUGUUAAAAAAAAAUAGGAUUUAAACUUUUGUGGUGUAGUCCGUUAGUAAAUUUAGUUCACAAGUGAUUUUUCCGUUAGUUGUUCGUUAACUGUGGGGUAAAAAUGUACUUUUCACUUGUUCUUCUUCUCUUUGCGAUUCCUCGUCUAGUUGGGUUUUGAUUAUGUUGGGGGAGUAAGCGAUGGUAAAUGAGGAAGAUCCAGCUGCGCUUUUCUGCAAUGGCCACUUUGCCGCUGGAUCAUUGUGAAUUUGGGUUUUUUAGGAUUUUUUUUUUUUUUGUCAAUAGGAAUUCCAUUAACAAACAGUAGGGAGAAGAAAAAUACAAAAAGACUCCUUAGGAAAUGAGAAGAUAAGCACAACUCUUACGUAGAACAGGAACAGGCAUGUUCCCAUAAGUAUGAUGAAUAACUAUCAAGCCAAAAAAGCUACAAAAAAAAUAAAAUAAAAUCUACCUACAGCCGAGAUGGAUGGGUUAUUUAGUCCCACCCCAACUUGGGAAUUAUACAGAAGAGGGCCAAGGGAGGCCAUCCCUAGACGGAACACUGACAAGAUAGGGAGGGUGCAUGAGCUGCUUUGCUUCUACAUGCUGUAUAUUGGCUGAUGGGUUUCAGAGUAAUUUUCUGUUUAUUGACUGGAUUUCGCUAUGUCGGAUUGGUUUGGUUUUUGGGUUGCUACGAUUGGUGAGACUUAUACCUUGGUUAUUGUUGAUUGAUUUGGUUAACAAGGUUUUCAUUCAUUUUCUGAUUUGUUUUGACACACUUCUCAAAAUUUACAAGAUGCUAUGAUGUUUGUGCUAUAUAAAGAUGAGUUAUAAACAUCUUCACCAUCUUCAUUAUUUUCUUGGUGAGAGAUAAAACAGUAGAGACAAGGAAGAAGAACACGUUAAAAUACAUAUUUAUCUCUGCAUUUAAAGGACAAUUAACAGAAAAAUUAGUUUUGGACUAAAUUUGCUAACGGAUUACACCACGAGGGUUUAAAUCCUAGUUUUUUUUACCACAUGGGCUAUCUUCCGAUUGCCUCAUUGAAAUAUGUGAUGAGUUAUUGUUAGUCAACAGUUGCAGAUUCAAAAUUUGAAUAAUUGCAAGUGGCUCUUUACCACAGUGGUGGAAAUAUGUUAAGCUCUUGCAUGACAGCGUGGGUUCAAACUCCGUUGGUAGCUAAUCUAACAUCUAAUUUGAAAUAAUCCAUCAUUUGACAAAAAAAAAAAAGAAAAAAAAAAGAUUUGAAUAAUUGGAGUCACAGUGUUAAAGAUUAAUUUUUUUAAUAAAAAUAGAGCGAAGCAUGCAAAACAUUCAAUUUAUUCAUUGAGUCUCUUUGCCCCUGCUUUUGUGCAAUUUUUCUUCAAGAAAAAGGUUGGAGAUGUUGCAGUCCUAUUAGUUAGGAAUGUGAUUGUGUAAAUCCUAGUAGAUAUGAGAAUGUAUUUUAUAUUCCUAUUAGGAGUAGAUUACCUAUUAAAUGUUGUAAUCCUAAAGGAAAAAGUUUUUAUCUAUCUUACUACUAUAAAUAAAGGCACAAUGGGGUGAAAUAACACACACUCACAAUUACACAUCUCUCUCUUAUUUUCUCUCUCUAUGCCGCACUCUCUCCCUCUCUCUAUGGCCUACAUAAUUGUUUAGUAAAUUAUGCCUACAACACGUUAUUAACACGCUCUUGACGCUGCGCUAACAAGAGAGUUUAUUAUUCAAUCAGGUGAGUAUUACGUUUUACACUCUUUUUAUGAUUAAUUAAUUAUUUUAUUGAAUUGAUCUACAUGCUAUUGAUUCAAUUUAAUUUUUCUAUGUUGAACGUGAUACAACGCAUUGGAGAUGCAAUUCCGGCUUUCCGAGAAGGAUCUUCUACAGAUUCAAAGGCUUUUGUAAUUUUCUGCCAAUUAGGUACGCUUCAAAUAAAGUAAGAUAUUUGAAACAACCAUGAAGUAUGAAAACAUUCCCCAUGAUGCAUGAACUCCCUAUGUUUAUAUUUUCCUUCCGAUAUAUAUAUAUAUAUAUAUAUUGUAUAUGUUCAUAUAUUUGUUAAUAUAUAUAUUUGUUUCAUGCAUUGCGCAAUUAUAUUUGCUAUGUGGAAUAUGUGAGUCAAAGUACAAAUUUAAAUUAGAAGCAUGUUAGGGUUUUUCAAACCCUAGAAAUUUCAAAAAAAAAAAAAAGGAAAAAAAGUGGACAUGAUACGGCAUCGGCCACCCAUGCACAGUCGAUGGCCUGAAGCCCAGCUGCAUGGAUCACCGCAGUAGCCCUUUAGGUUUCCUGCUCCUGCACACAAGAACUAGGCUUCGGCCUGGGGUAGUUUCGACGAGCUUGAAGCCCCGAGCACCACCUGUAAUUCGGCCUGACUCACCAGCAAAGCUAUACGCUUGCUGGGCUUAGAUUUUUUUUCCCUAGCCGGCAACAUAUUAAACCAGCCUAGUUGGCUGGGUUUUCUUUCCCACGCGACCCAAGGCCAGCGUCUUGUUGGACCUGCCCCUACCCCUCCAUUUGACCAAAACAGGAACCCAGCUGAGGUUGGGGUUCCUCCCAACCCCGUAGGCUUUUGGGCCUACCUAUGUCUCUCGGUCGUGGCCUGCAUCCAUAUUUGGACUGCCUUUGCAGCCUUUCCCUGAGCCCAUAUACCCAUAGGGCCUUGCCGACUCACGACACCCAACCUUUUUUUGGGCUAUGCUAUUUUUUCGAUCCAAUAAUAUUAUUUUAUUAUUAUUUUGCUUCUACAAUCGACCAUGUAUGGUCUAAUUUAUUGAAUUAAUUAAAAGUGACAUGCAGUCCAUUAAUCUGAUAAUGAAUCCAAAAUUAUUGGCCUGAAGCCCACUUUUGGACAUUAACGAUUCAAUAAUUUAUUUUUAUACUUUGAACCAUUGACUCACUUUCGUAGUCCCGAAGCACUCACACUUAAGUUCCUAAAGCAACCCAAAUCCACUAAACUUAAAUCAGCAUAUUGCAUUUUGUGUUCUUACAUGAACUUCUCUUUUAUGAACUAAACGUUCAUAAACUAAAUUGAACUUGUAGUUUCAAAUUUAGUGCCUUUGAAACCCGAAGAUUUCAUAAAACAAUACACCCAUGAAAACUCGACGUUUUUCAUGUAAACCAUGUCUUAGAAUCCCGAAUGUUCUAACUUUGAUGCUUAUGGAUGAUUCAUUCCCAUAGCACCAAUCACAAUCUUGUUCCCUCCAAUUCAGUGGAUUGUCGAACUAUCACAAGUUCGAUUUUCCUAAUUUGGACGUUUAUAAUAUAAAUCACUUUAUGUAGGGUACAAGACGUGAAUCUCCACUUGACUAUUAAGAAGCUAAGACACCAUUGAAGCCAACAAUGGCAAGGAAAAACUGAAUAAGCCUUCGCCAUGAUCUUCAUUCGAAGACUUAUGCCUGAAGCAUUACCAACGGAAGUACCUCCUGAACGAGGAUUCCAUGGCUCUUUGGCUCACUUAUACGGACUGUCUAAUCAUGAAAAACAUUGCCUAAAGCACACCAUGAUUACGUCCAUGAAUGAGUACAAUUCUGAAGUUUAUAAAUCCGAUUAAAUUUUAACUGGAGAAUACUUUUCUCGUUCUUUCAUGUUUUUACCUAGCUCCUGCAGUAGUGUAGAAAGAGGAAGUUUACCAAAUUCUCGAACCUGAUUACUACCACAAAUGUGAUAGAACGGUAUGGACUUAGUCGACUGGAGUCUACCGAAUAGCUCAACCCAGUUCGGUCAAAGCCUACCGAAUGGUGAUGCACUGCUUCAGCAAGGAUACAUCAAAUGGCAUAUUCUCUCACAAUCCAAUUUUGAGUUUGUUUUCACAACAUCUAGUAGAAUCAGGGCAUGCCAAGGUGUGGCAUCAUGCCCGAAGCAUGAUCCUUGGUACCUAAGACCUAAAACUUCAAGAAUAAGGGAAAAUAUUCCCGAACCUUAACCUUGCAAAAUAUAUUUCCGUCUCGAUGGAAUAGACCAUUGGUUAUGCACCUAUUCGUACCCCUACCAUGUUGUUAAGGAGUACCAUUCUAGUAGUCAAUACGUGAGACUAAUUUUGCUUCACCAAACAUCAUUGGAAGAGCAGAAUUUUGACAUGGAUGGCCUUGUUGGUCGAAUCCCCUUAGUAAACCAUUUACUUUGUGAACAUUUUUCCAUGUUCUUGGAUUCAAGUUUGGUGUAUGUUUUACUUAUGGAUAAUCUUAUUGAUAUUGUCCUCGAAUAUGAGUUAAUUAAAUCAUGUUUCUUAAUACAUGUGACCAAUUCAAUUAAACAAGUGAUUAGGUAGGAAUGUGGGAAAGUUAGUUGUCUGGACGAAUGCGUACUACGCACACUAACUUGACACCUAAAUCACAUCUCUAACAAUGAAUUCAGGUUUAUCCAACCUGAUUAAGAGCAUUGACACGCUCCUCGUUGUAUGAAUGGUAUUGAAUCACCAUUUAAGGGACUUUAAAUUCUCCCUAAAGUUGAGUUUUUAAGGAUAUUCGAGAUGACAAUGAUCAUAAAUGAAACCACUGAAGAAAAUAGAGUGAAUAUCUUUGCACCACCUCUAAAAAUAAGCCUGAAGCUUUGAUUUGGGGCCAAUGGGUUGUCUCCCAACCGGGAAUACACCACAUGUGGCCGGCCUGAAGCCUGGUGAUUGAGCAAUUUACUUGCUUUGGCACGACCUUUUGGGACACUUAGGUCGAACAAUGAUGCUACGAUGCAUGUCCUUACCCGAAGUAAGGAUCUUGUAUCUACAAGCACACUUUGCCAAAGCCCGCUCAUUUGGGACUGAUUUUUAUAUCAUUCCUUGCAAAGAUACGACACGACUCUCUUUUCACAAUGGAUUCAAGGGAAUAUACGUGGACUAAUCUAACCAAAAUGUGGACCAUAUAAAUACUUAUGGUUAUGGUUGAUGAAUCGACAAACUGGUCACAUGUUUGUCCACACACAUUGUUGCUAAACCUCUUAGCCGAUUAAGGGUUCACCACCCUACUUAUCUCUUAAGGUCUGGGAGACUGGAUAAUGUCGGAGAGUUUAUAUCGACGAUUUUCGAUAAAGUAUUGCAUGUAUUUUGGGUUUAUAAUUGAACAUCGAAUUCCCAUGUUCACCCCAAAGAGUCUCACGUAGUGAUCAUAAAGCGCAAUUUAAAUGAUCGCCCGAAUUUUGGUAAACAUACCAAGUUUUCGAUUUCUGCCUAGGGUUAUGCAAUCCUUGUACGCAGUUAUGUUGGUCCGCCUUGAGGCCUAUUGCCACCUAACCUAUACGACGUUAUAGUUGGUCACUGGGUACGAACCUGACGAUUUUCGUAUUUAUGCAUUUAGGUGAGCAUUCCAUGUGCCAAGUUGCGCCGCCGCAACGUACCACCAUGGAUCCUCAAAGAAAGAUGUGUAUCUUUUGUCGAUCAUGAUUCUUUUUCACACUAGCUAUCUUUGAGCCCUUGCACGCGAUCUAUUUACUGCUCAUUUGCGGGUUGUCACCUUAAUGAGACAGUCUUCCCACCGUUAGGGGGAGAUAAGAAAGUCAACGUUCCUGGAGAACGGCGCGAAUUUGCGUGGACAUUACCCACUAUGUCUCAUCUCGAUCCCCGUACCGCACAUGUAUGAUAAGUAAGUGCGAUGAAUUCUAGGUUUCAAAAUGUUGCUCUAGACGCAUUCCUCUAAUCUAGCUAAAGUGACGAGGUCAUAUACCAGCUGCAAACAUGCCUGCAAGGAUAGACGUACUUAACGGACGUCGAGUCAACAUCCCUUGAGGGUGUGCCGCCCUUGUUGGACGGUUUGGGCACCCCUAUUGGACUGUCCGGUAUAAGGACGGAUAGCAAAUCAAUCUGUCUUGGCCUAGAACGUGACAUAUCAUUCUAUUCGUAGGAUUCACUUCCCUAGAAGAUGAAGAUACAGCACAACAAAAUCUAAACUCGAUCGCUGUCUUAAAUCAUUUCCAUCUCAUGAGAUUAAUCCGGAUUUGUUCCGAGACUUAAAGUUCUUGGUCUAGUAUACUAGUUUGGAUGAGCUAAAUGGAAUUGAAAUGAGAUUAUCAUCGAUGAUGUUUUCACUUAUAUGGUAGUUACCGACAUAAAUGAAAAGCGACGAUAUCGAACCAUGUUCCGUUGAUUAAGUGACAACGUAGAAAUGAUUGGACAACUAAAGUUACAAUCCAAGUCAAAUUCCAUACCAACGUGUGUAUUGGACCUGUCGUUCAUAAACUGCCCAAGGUAACCUUGUUGUGUUCCAAAUGGGAAAUGAAGCGUUAUGGGAUGAAUGAAAUAGUGCAAUAUGAUGCACGCCUUACGACGCAAGGUUUCUCUCAAACGUCCUGUGAUUGAUAGCAGCAUUAUGAAAUAUGGUUAAUGUUUCUCUGUGGGGAUAUAGAUACGGAGAUUUACAUGUAAGUUCUGGAAGAAUUACAUGGACUGGUUCAAAUAGUUCCAAAACCAUGGAACACCUUAUUAACUUGUUUUGAGGCGUUCACUUAUGGAUUGAAAAAUCUAACGGAUUAACUAGUGAGGGAUGAAUUAUGCCUUUACGUGUUAAACUAUGAAGUCUAAUUCCAAAUUGCUAGAGUUACAGUUUAUGUCGUUAACACGAAUCUCACUAAGACUCUGGAAGAGCUUGAGAAAACUGGCUCGCACCUGAAGAUGGAAUUUGAGAUAAAUGAUCUUGGGAAAACUCGUUUAUGCCUUGACCUGAAGUUAAAACAUUGUUCUGACGGUAUUUUUGUCUACCAGUUGAACUACACCCCGAAUGUGUCACCCUUGAGUAUACCUUUGAUCGUCCAUACGUUAUAUGCAAAUGUGACCCUUGAAGAGGUUAUGGAAUCCGAAAUUUCAUAUCUAAGUUCAACUUUGCACUUCGUUGUACUUAGCUCAUUGUAUUUAGAUAGGUCAUUCGUUGUUGAUCUUGAUGAAGAUGCAGCACCGCACUUACACGCAUCCACUGAAUUAGUAUUAAAGACGUACCCUGAAGGUACUACAUGGGAAAAUCCCAAUGCAUCUUGAGCAGAUCUAACCCCCCUGAUCCUCAAAAUGAUGUUUGCCUUGUUUGUUAUGCUGACGCAGGUUACUUAUCAAACCCGCACAAGGAAAAAUCCCCAAAUAGUUAUGUCUUUACCAUUAUGGAUAUCGCAAUAUCAUGGAGGUCCAUGAUAUUACAUUAGUUGUGAAAUCUUUGAAUCAUUCCAAGACUCACCUUACUUCACUAUCCCACAAUUGAGACAUGGUUAGGAGUUCUUGUUGAGCAUAUUCGAAGUACUUGUUGUGUUUUCAUCCAUCGUUGAGUCCCAACAACGAUUCAUGAAGAUUAUGCCGCAUGUAUCAACCCGACCAAGCUAUGAUACAUCAACGAAGUCAACACCAAGACAUAUUGCGUCCACAUCUACAUUAGCAAAGCAUUAGGAGAUUGAAGUCAUGCAAGCCGAUCCCAGACAACCUUGCCGACCUCUACAUGACGUCACUGAGUCAACCUUCCAGAAGCUUAUCCAAGGAAUUGGUAUGCCUAACUAUUUAUAUGCAAUGCUUGUAGUUCUCAUUUGGAAGUUAUGUCAAACUCAAGGGGAGUAUUCAGAAGUAUACUCACUUGAUCUUAAUAUACUCUUUUUCCUUACGAUUAGGAGCAUUUUUCCUACUGGGUUUUUGCUACCUGACUAGGUUUUAACGAGGCACUUAUCCUGGGCUGAUCAUACCCUUGUGAGCUCUUCUACUUGCGUCCAAAAGACGUAUAGUUUUGACUUAAUGCAACUUCUCACAUUUCUCCUUAGACUAUGGGUUUUUCCCCACCUUGGGUUUUACCAUAGCGAGAUUUUGUGAGUUUUACUUUUUAUGCAUUCUUCCGUUGAUCUGAGACUCGCAUUCGCUCAUUGUGCCGAUGACUUCAUCAACUGUACUUACUUCAUCAAUGAAGACCUGAUGCGUCAUUUACUUGAGUAUUUACACACUCAAGGGAGAGUGUUGCAGUCCUAUUAGAUUAGGAAUGUGAUUGUGUAAAUCCUAGUAGAUAUGAGAAUGUAUCUUAUAUUCCUAUUAGGAGUAGAUUACAUAUUAAAUGUUGUAAUCAUAAAGGGAAAGGUUUUUACCUAUCAUACUACUAUAAAUAAAGACACAAUGGGGUAGAAUAACACACACCCACAAUUACACAUCUCUCUUAUUCUCUCUUUAUGCCGCACUCUCUCUCUAUGGCCUCUAUAAUUGUUCGGUAAAUUAUGCCUACAACAGGAAACACACUUUUUCUUUUCUUUUUUUUAUUAAAUUUUUUCUUUUCUUUUUCCACAUUUCAGUAUUUCAAAAAAAAAAAAUCUUUUUUUAUUAUUUUUUUUCUUUUCUUUUUCACUUGUUGUCGUUUUCUUCCACAUUUUGUACAUUUUUUUCUUCCUUCCGUCAUUGAUGAAAAAGGGCAGGAGACACACUUUUUUAUUUAUUUUUUAAAAAAAAUUCUUUUCUUUUUCCACAUUUUAACAGUUUCAAAAAUCUUUUCUUUUUUUAUUAAUUUUUUUUCCGUUUCUUUUUCCACAUGGUGCCACAAACAUUUCCUCUCUCCUUAUCAUUUUUCCACCUUUUGUCGUUUUCACCUUUUGUGCUUUUUUUCAACCAAAUGUAUUAUGAUACUUGGUGUUUUAAGUUGUGUUAUUGCCACAAUGAAAAUUUUCUUCGAAAUUUAGUCUAAAAAUUUGAUCCCCUAGCAUUACACUAAAAAUAAAUGGAUUGUGUUACUAUUUUUUUUUAUCAAUUAAUGCAUUUUAUUUGUUUUUCUGAAAAUUAACGAUUGGUUUGCUUAGGGGGUGUAGUCAAACUUGGAUUUGAGAGGAUUUUAAAAGACUUUAAAAUUCUAGUGUAGUCAAUUAAAAGAUUUUAAAUGAUUUUAGAAUCCAUUCAAAUAUAUGUGUAGUCAAUUAAAAGAUUUUAAAGGAUUUUAAAAUCUAUCCAAAUCUAAGUGUAUUAAAAAAAAUUAAGAUUUUGGAGGAUUUUAAAAAGAAUCCAACCUCACCCCCUAGGAUUUCAAAUCCUUUUCCAUCUGGGCAAUUCUCAAAUCUCUACCAACCCCAGCCACACACAGGUAACCAUCAUAUACUUUGGUGGAAUAUCUUUUUGUAAGCAUUUCACAGUAUUAUACACACUUUGAACUAGGUUUUGGACGAGUUCUCUAAUUCUCGAGUCAGAGGAGAAUCACAUUGAUGUUCAACGGUUAGAACUUAAUCCAAUGUUCAACACCGCAACCCUCUCAGGCAAUUUUGUAAUUUCACUCUCAAAGCUUCAUAUAUCAAUCGAGCUCUACAUGCAACGCAUUCGUUUCUGGUUUUUUUAGCAGAGUUUCGAUUGGCGGAAAGAUGGAAUUCAUGGUGAUGAAAGGUAAGAGGAGGGGAUCGGGUACGGUGUGUCACACUGCAGCUCUCUUUGUCAACAGCCUGUAGUGGAUCUCCACCAUUUCUUUUGCAUAAUUCUCUUUCUCUCACUUUUAGUUUGAAGCAUUCAAGGAUAUAUCAUACAUAGGAUUAGGAUCACAGUGCUACAAACAAAAAAUAUUAGUAGUGCAUAUAAAAUACGAAUAUAUACAUCAUUUGUUAUGCUUCUUUAUUUCGACAUUUAGUAAUUCUUUUAUUUCUUUGAACAUUUUUCCACUUCAAUCACUGAGACUUGCGAUCGGUACGUGGUACAAAAUGUGUAGUAUGCAACAAUGGUGUUGAUGCACAAAAUCAGCGAAGACUUUGGUACAACAGAAAGUGUCAGGUUUUGUGACCUUCGCUUGGUUGCUUUGGUCACUAGUGAGGAUAAGUACGUAAAUGAAUAGAGACAGAGAAGCAAACACAUGAUGUACGUGGUUCACCCAGAUUGGCUACGUCCACGGAGUAGAGGAGUUCUUAUUAGUAGUGAAGGGCUUACACAAGUACAAGGGAUCAAGCUCUCAAUUUAGUGAGUUCUUGUGAAUGAUUUAACACAAAUGGCAUUAGCCAAUAUUGUGGGGGAAUGACCCCUAUUUAUAGAAAAACUUGUAGCUUUGUCACAUUGACAUGUGUCAUGUUAUGAUUGGUUCUUGAUGUCGACACGUGCUGCACUCUGAUUGGCUUCUAAUCUUGACACGUGUCGAGUAGUGAUUGGCCUCCUGGUCGGAGGGGAACUCUUCUGGGUCCUUGACAGUAUAGCGUUGGCCGGUGCUCGGUAGUUUCGGGAUUGGUCAAGUAUGGUACAAACAGUGCUCCCCUAAGUUCCCGAGUGAGGGAAACUCCUCGGUUGGGGACUUGCAAGAUCCAAUCCCUUGAGUAAUCACGAAACUUCUAAGUACCGAAGUGUGGUCUGAUCUUCAUCUGCCCUUCUCUGGAAGUACCUUUCCUCCAUCCGGGAAUGGUGUAUUUAGCUGAUGUUGACGCACAAGGUAAUGUAUCAAUUUCACUUGAAGCUUAGUUGUAGUUUCGGGGCUUAGUCAAGUGUGAUACAAACCCUAUAGUAGGAGUCCCCCAAGUCGCCGAGCUAGGAGAUCUGCCGAAAGAGGUGACAGACAAGGUAAGCAGUCAAACUUCCAAGUAAGCAACCCAGGAUCAGAGGUUUGACUUCGGCUUCCGGUUGAUUGUUCUCCUUCUCCUUGUCUCUCAUUCAACUGCCAGGAUAAGGAGAAGCAAAUGGAUAAGAGAUGAUAUGAGAUACUUUUGCUUUUUGAAGAAGUAACUUUCCACAGGCUUAUUCUUGAACUGUGCUGGAGGGUUUUCUGGUGCCCUUCAGAGUAUAAGGCCGACUCAAAAAUUUGAGGGUCAAAACAAGUCCAUCAAAUCUAGAGUACGUUCGACCUUGAUGAUAUGGGAUACUUUUGCUGUUGACGGAAUAAUGAAUGUGGUAUGGAAAGGUGUCGUGCUGUAGUGAUCUAUUUCAGCUCACCGUUGAACCUUCUGCUUCAAUCUUUUGCAUGGCAGAAGUGGUGUGCAACCUUUGCAUUUAAAUGGUCCUUCAGAACAUUCCUUCAUAGUGACUCAUCCACGCUUGGCAGCUUCAGUGUAAAGAGCCAAUAUCUGAUCAACUGUCAUGAGGUAUUUGCCGGUGGAAUUCGUGACCUUGACAGCAGUUGAGGAUGAGUACUCGAGAGCAAUGCUAAGUAAGCAACCAGGCAAAGGCUCCAGGCAGUCAGUUCCAAAUUGGAGGUUUGAUUUCAGGUUCCGACUGACUGCUCUCUUUCUCCUUGUCCUGCAGGUGUGGACAAGGACAAAGACAAAGAUAGGGAGAAAGCAUGAUAUGGGAUACUCUUGCUUUCGACCCUGAUGAUAUGAGAUACUCUUGUUCUUGGUGUGGCUUAUUUGCUGAGGUAUUAUCGGGGGGAAAUAAAGCUGAGUAUUUCGAGAGGUUAUGUUGAGGGUGCCUUUUCGAAUGCGAGAAAGGGUUAAGCAUUUUUGCAGGUUUGCCUGUCCGUUGAGGAGGGAGGUCAAUGUAUAUAGGGAUUUCCCAAUAACAAGUAGUAAUGAUAUUCCUUUACCCUUCUUGGUCAUAGCAAUGUAGUGGGAGCUGCCAGCUUCACGUGUUUUAAUUUUGUCAGAGCACUUUGAAAAAGUGGUAUGUGGUAUCUGGAAAGCUGAUGUUACGUGUGAAGAUUACAGACAAGCUUUAUCUAAGGAAAUCUGGCUCUCGAAGUUCUGAGAGUUGUGCCUCUUCGGUUUUCGAACAAGCAAUCCCGUCGAGGAUCUGACUCUCGAGAUUCGGAAAGCGGUGCUACUCCGGUUUUUGAGAAAGUAAUUAUGUUGGGAGUCUUUUCUCGAAUGUGAGUAAAGGUUGGACGUUCUUGCCAACCUGUCUUGCCGCAAAACACGGAGGUCGACACACAUAGGGACUUUCCAGUUGUCAAGCAGUGGUGCUGUUCCUUUACCCUUAUGGGUAAUAGUAGGGUAGCUGGAACUUCGAAAUUCUCGUGCCUAAACUUUGUCAGAGAUCUUUGACAAAGUUAUAUGUGGUACCCGAGGAGUUGAUGGUGCAUAUGGAGAGCGGUGAUUGAACAGUAAGAUUCACGUGCUUUUUACUUCACCAGAAAUCUUCGACAGAUUGCCCGUAAUUUUCGCAAAGCUGAUUGUGCAUGUGACAGGUGCUGACGAGGCUGAAAAAGCAGGUGCUUCUUCGAUUUCUGAGAUCGGCCCUCGUGGUUUCUAAGCAGCCCAGCUUUUGAGAAAGCAAACGCCUCUUCGAUUUCUGAGAUCGGCCCUCUUGGUCUCUGAGCAGCCCAGCUUUUGAGAAAGCAAACGCCUCUUCGAUUUCUGAAGCUCCGUCGAGUGCAGAUUUUUAUAGAGGCUGGCAUUAAGUUCCACAGCACACCUGAAUCUCUACCAGUAGAAGCUCAUUUCUUGCACUUCUAAGAUCUUGAUUUGUCUGACCUCUUCCUUCUUCAACACAUUUGAAAAUGUCUGGACCCUCCGACCGUCGUUUUGACCUAAACCUUGGAGAAGAGACAGCCACGCCUUCUCCAGACAACAUAUGGCGCCCAUCCUUCAUAUCCCCUACUGGUCCUCUUACCGUUAGGGAUUCUGUGAUGAAGAAUGAUAUGACCGCUGCUGCAGUGGUGGCCAGGAACCUUCUCACUCCCAAAGAUAACAGACUACUUUCCAAACGGUCUGAUGAGUUGGCUGUUAAGGACUCUCUGGCUCUUAGUGUUCAGUGUGCAGGUUCUGUGUCUAAUAUGGCCCAACGCCUAUUUGCUAGAACCCGCCAAGUUGAAUCAUUGGCUGCUGAAGUGAUGAGUCUCAAACAGGAGAUUAGAGGGCUCAAGCAUGAGAAUAAGCAGUUGCACCGGCUCGCCCAUGACUAUGCUACAAACAUGAAGAGGAAGCUUGACCAGAUGAAGGAAUCUGAUGGUAAGGUUUUACUUGAUCAUCAGCGGUUUGUGGGUUUGUUCCAAAGGCAUUUAUUGCCUUCGUCCUCUGGGGCUGUACCUGGUAAUGAAGCUUCAAAUGAUGAACCUCCAAUGCCUCCUCCUUCUGGGGUUUUGUCAAGUACUGAGGCUCCGGAUAACCACCCUCCGGUGCUUUCUCUUUCUGGGGCUCUACCGACUGCUGAGACUUCCCCUAAGCAACCUUUGUGAAGGCUCCCUUUUGUUUGUUUAUUUUGACUCAUGUAUAUGUACAUAUUUGUGGCUUAUCGAAAAUAUUAAUAAAUAAGCUUUGCUUCAUUUCAAUAUAUUGUGUUAAAUACACCAAAGCCUUCUUCAUAAAGUUCUUUGAAUUUUUGCUUUUGUUGAAACCUGUAUUGUUGAAGCUUUGUGAGUGAAGCAUGUAGUUUGAGGUAGUGUUCCCUUAAUUUCCCGAGUGAGGAAAACUUCUCGGUUGGAGACUUGAAAAAUCCAAGUCACUGAGUGGUUGUGAGACUGCCGAGUAUUAAGGUGCAGUAGCAUAUGGUGGGAGUCCCCCAAGUCUUCAGGCGAAGAGAGUUGCCGAAUGAGGUGUCUCGCUUGUUACUAAUUUGUCAAAGUAACGAAUCCUUGUUUCGAUGUCACACAUUCGCAUAUGCCUUAUCUAAAAAUAUUUCCAACUUUUGUGUGUUUGAUGCUGCAUGCUAUUGACUAGACAAGAUCAAGUGCAAUUAGUAGCUUUUCUCUCUUUUUCAUCUUUUCUUUGGUGGAAUUGCUUUUCGUUUCCACUAAUCAGCCUGAGUGGAUGCAAGAUAACACCAUUCUCUAUAACUCAGAUCGCAAAGUCGUCUUCAUGAAAGUUGUUCCUUAUCUUGUGAACUACAACAUCUCCAAAUUUGAGAUCCAUCGGAGUAGCACAACUCCAGAAAUUCAGGUAUGAUGAGUAACUGUUCAUCAAUUUUUUGUUAACCCGUCAGACUUGUUGUGAGCUUCUAAACUCCAUUUUUUCUUGUUCAUCUCAACAUACUUUCUUCAUCGAAGUUGUUCCUCACCUUGUCAGCUACAACAUAUCCAAAUUUGAGAUCCAUCGGAGCAGUACAAAUCCAGAAAUUCAGGUAUGAUGAGUGACUGUUCAUCAUUUUUCUGUCAACCUGUCAGACUUGUUGUGAGCUUCGAAACUCCAUUUUCUCUUGUUCAGAUCAACAUACUUUCUUCAUCGAAGUUGUUCCUUAACUUGUGAACUACAACAUAUCCAAAUUUGAGGUCCCUCGGAGCAGUAUAACUCCAGAAAUCCAGGUAUGAUGAGUGACUGUUUAUCAUUUGUCUGUCAACCCGUCAGAUUUGUUGUGAGCUUUGAAACUCUAUUUUCUCUUGCUCAGAUCAGCAUGCUUUCUUCAUUGAAGUUGUUCCUCAGCUUGUGAACUACAACAUAUCCAAAUUUGAGAUCCCUCGGAGUAGCACAACUCCAGAAAUUCAGGUAUGAUGAAUGACUGGUUAUUAUUUUUCUGUCAACCCGUCAGAUUUGUUGUGAGCUUCGAAACUCCAUUUUCUAUUGUUCAGAUCAGCAUGCUUUCUUCAUUGAAGUUGUGCCUCAUCGUCUCUUUCAUAACAUAUCAAAAAUUCAGAAUGAACUAAUGGUUAAAUAUUUCCAGAUCUUCGAAACAUCAUAGCAGCUUCGAAAUCUGCAAGAAUCCGACUGUCAUGUUUGGAGCUUCAACACUUUAAUUUCCGUCGCUCAAACAGAAAUGGUUCCUUCUUGAAAGUUGUUCAUAUGCUCAAAAACUAUAGGGUGUCCAAAAUUCAGCUCCAUUGGAGAAGAGCAGAGGUUGCAGAAAUUUGAUAGAUGAAAGGAGGCGGAAGAGGGAGAGAGAGAAAAAAAAGUCUCUUGGGUUGGAUUUCUAUUUUGGGGCAGAUUCCAAGUUUUGUAGCACCUUCAUUAUUGAUGAAUUGCUUGUACUUUUGUCCAUUAUGAAACUUGGGACUUUGGCUUGUUGUUGGAUCUAUUAUAAAUAUGUUUGGAAACAUAUACAUAAUUGCUUGUUUGGUUAUGACAGGGAUGUUGUGGGUGUAGAACAAAACAAAUGUUUGUGUUGACCUGUGUUUUUGUACAAGUUCAAGGGCAUCUUGGGUUUUGUGAACAAAAUUUGUUUAUUUGGAGCAAGGUUUUGUGUUGAAGCUUUGUAGGUGAAGCUUUGGUGUUGAAGCUUUCUAGGUGAAGCUUUGAUGUGUGAAGCUUUCUGGGUGAAGCUAUGUAGGUGAAGCUUUCUAGGUGAAGCUUUUUUAGGUGAAGCUUUGUAGGUGAAGCUUUUUUAAGUGAAGCUUUUCGGGUGAAGUUUUUUGGGUGAAGCUUUUUUAGGUGAAGCUUUUUGGGUGAAGCUUUGAUGGUGAAGCUUUGUAGAUGAAGCUUUGUAGAUGAAGCUUUCGAGGUGAAGCUUUGAUGGUGAAGCUUUGUAGGUGAAAGUAUGUAGAGGGAGCUUUCUAGGUGAAGCUUUUUUAGGUGAAGCUGUGUAGGUGAAGCUUUUUUAAGUGAAGCUUUUCGGGUGAAGUUUUUUUUUUUGGGUGAAGCUUUUUUAGGUGAAGCUUUUUGGGUGAAACUUUUUGGAUGAAGCUUUUUGGGUGAAGUUUUGGAGGUGAAGCUUUUCGGGUGAAGCUUUUUGGAUGAAGCUGUUUUUUUUUUUUUUUUUUUUUUUUUUUUGGCGCUUGACACGGUCUUCAUUUGCUUGUUUUGUAGUGACUGUGGAAGACGGAUUGCUUUCUGAUUGAGAAGGGUUCCGGCAUCGCUUUGCACCAUCUUCAUGUGGGUAAUAUAGGAACUUCCUUAUGUUUUGAUCAUGCAUGUAGUGAUAGAAUUUGUUUCUUCUUAUUGUAGAUGUCAGAGUCUGGAAGUUCUAGUGAUGAGGGCUCUUCUAGCUUUAGCUCUAAGUCUGAGUCUGCAAUGUCGGAGUCUUCAGGGUCUUUGUUAGAGUCCUGUACUAGAGAAACAUUGGAUGAUCUUCCCAACCGUCAAACUUUAGCUAUUGCUAGUUCUUCCUCCAUGGCGUUGGGUGAGGGGGUUUCUCCUGAUAUGUCUUUGCCUCGGCGGAGGCAUGGUUAUAAGCCUGCGCCAUCACCUCAGAGUAAGUCUUCCAAGUAUUGGCAUUGAUCAUGUAUUUAAAGAAACAAUCACGUAGGCCUGCCGUGAAGGCUUUGAGGGCAGUCUUGUCGUCUGCCUCGGCACACCGGGAGUAUUCAUGGCUGAAGCGGCCAGCAUACAUACGUAAUGACUCGUCUGGCCUCUGGCGGAUAGUGUACAGGUCAUCUGCAGAGUGCAAGCGAUCGGUUUGGAAAAUGUGUUGGGAAACAAAUAGUUUCCUCAAUUCCUCAAAUGAGUCUACCGUCUCAGGUGUAAGAUGACAGUACCAAUUUAGAGCUCCGCCAGAGAGGGUGGAGGGGAAGAGAAGACAUCGCUAUUCGUCGAUGUGCAUCCGGUAUGCCAUGGUGGACUCAAAGAGGUUAAGGUGCUCAAUCGGGUCCUCUUUUCCAGUAUAAAGUUGCAAGCCAAGCUUCUGCUUUGUCUUUGCUUGAAGGGGGGUGUUGAGGAUCCUCCUUGUAAGAGGGCCCGGCCUAGGUUGGUUCCAGUCAGGUAUUUCAGCCUGACGUUCAGCCUUCAACUUGUUUACUUCCUCAAGAAGUUGUAGGACAAGAGGGUCCUGAGCGGAGUUAUGUGCCACUGGAGCUUUCUUUCGUAAAUCUCCAUCUCCUCUUGGAAUUAGGAAGGUUUGAUCAAGGGCAUGUGAUUUUUCCCUGGACUCGCUGUACUGGCUUCCAGGGUAUGUCUGUCGGAACACCUCUGAGUCCCCUGUACCCUCAUGUCUCUCUAGGACUUGUUGCACCUUCCCCAAGUUGGUGGCUGGCUCGGGCCGUGGCAGGGGACCGAGUCUCUCAGAAAUCCUUGGGUCAUUGAUCUUUGAGCUUAUAUGGAUGGAAUUCUCUCGACGUUGCUUCAGGAAAUCCCGACAAUCGCGAAAGACGGCUUUCGAUCCUUCUGCCCCUUCAGCAAAGAGGUGUCUCCCUCCGCUUCUCAUGGUUCGGGUCGAAGCAACUGGGUUAAGAGAAGCCUCAUGUUGAUUAUCAAAUCGAAGGGUAAUUUGUUCCCUAUCAGGGAUAUCUAUGUCGAAUGCAUGUGACCCUCCAUGUUGGAGGGCACCCAGUUGAUGGUUGACUUCCACGGGGGCAACAAGUUCGCGUGUCUGAGCUUGCCUAGCUUCGUGAAGUGUCUCGAAGAGCUUCUCAUAUUGCUCCUGGAGGACCUCAUUCCUCAUUGCUAUCUUGUUGUUCUGAGCUUCCAACUCAUCGACUUUAGCUUGAAAGAAGAACUCGUUUUCCUUCCUUCUUUCGUUGUUUCGCACUAUGUGCAAGGGGGGUGUCAUUCUGUGUGCUGUGGCUUCCUUCGCUUCCCAUGCUGGAGAGGGAUGCCUGAUCAAAAGAAAGUGUACGAAUGAUAGAAACCAGCUUGACACAGCUGAAGAGAGUAGGAAUAAGUGUCGUUUCCCACAGACGGCGCCAAAUGUUGAUGCACAAAAUCAGCGAAGACUUUGGUACAACAGAAAGUGUCAGGUUUUGUGACCUUCACUUGGUUGCUUCGGUCACUAGUGAGGAUAAGUACGUAAAUGAAUAGAGACAGAGAAGCAAACACAUGAUGUACGUGGUUCACCCAGAUUGGCUACGUCCACGGAGUAGAGGAGUUCUUAUUAGUAGUGAAGGGCUUACACAAGUACAAGGGAUCAAGCUCUCAAUUUAGUGAGUUCUUGUGAAUGAUUUAACACAAAUGGCAUUAGCCAAUAUUGUGGGGGAAUGACCCCUAUUUAUAGAAAAACUUGUAGCUUUGUCACAUUGACAUGUGUCAUGUUAUGAUUGGUUCUUGAUGUCGACACGUGCUGCACUCUGAUUGGCUUCUAAUCUUGACACGUGUCGAGUAGUGAUUGGCCUCCUGGUCGGAGGGGAACUCUUCUGGGUCCUUGACAGUAUAGCGUUGGCCGGUGCUCGGUAGUUUCGGGAUUGGUCAAGUAUGGUACAAACAAAUGGAAAAAUAAAGCUAGAGAUAGGCUUGGUUGACUGCAAGGUGUGCAAGGGUGCAUGUAACAAUUUUUGAUACUAGCUUCAUGUAUUAUUGUGACUCUUAGACCUCAAUUAGGAUCAUUGAAGGACAUGAUCAAUCUAGGAUUUUGGUUAAUAUUACUCUCUCGCCAUUCUGAUUUUUUACUGUCUGUGGUACUACAAGCACUGCUAAAGUACCACAACCUACAUUUGUGGCAAAAGGGUAGUCAGUCGUGAUGGUUGUUGGUGGUGUAGUGCUCAAAAGCUCACCAAAGUUAUGUUGAUCUAUCAAUUGAGAAAGAGAUGGAGCCGUGGUUGUGUGAAGGGGAUUCGAAAAGGGAGGAGAUAAAGUGGCUAUCGAGUACAAUAGGGCAAGGGGAAAGAGUUUUCCUUUUUUUAUUUUCAAUAAAAAAAUUAUAUGAAAAUCCACCACAAUCCACCAAAUCUACAAACUAAAUCCAUUCAAAUUCUUUAAAAUCUAUAUAAAUUUUGUAGGAGUCUUAAAUCAUUCUAAAUUCUAUCAAAUUGAUCACUUUUAAAAUCAUUUAAAAUAUUAGUUUUCAAAGACGAGCCUAAUGGCCCUAUGUUUAGGACCGAUUUGCAUGAAUAUUUCUCAACAUUUAUACGAUAUGGAUAGACAGAGGGAGAAUGAGACAGAGUUACAAAGAGAGAGAGAGAGAGAGAGAGAGAAAGAGAGAUAGGGGAGGAGUGGGGAUCCUCGAUUUCAUGAGUGGGAGAUGGGGUACAGUAAAAGAAAAACAUGGGGUUAGGGAUUUCAGAUUUCAAGGGGGGAGAGAGGAUGUGCUUCGUUUCGAUCAGGCCGAGCCUAUAUGAUUUGAUUGGAUCGAGGUAAUGAGGACAACGAGAGGGGCUGUGCUUCGUUUUGAAAAUUACUUGUGAGAGAUUGGAAAACCUGGAUUAGAACCUUCCAAUUUGGAGGGGGUUCCGAUUUGAAAGGGGCGAGGGAAAAUCAUGGUUUGGAAGAAGGGAAAAUCAUGGUUUGGAAGAAGAAGAUGAGGAUAGGAGAAGACUGAAGACUGGAGAGAGAGUGAUUUGGAUGAAGAGAGGAAGGAGAGAGAGACUGAGGAAGCAAAGGCAGAGAGGAAGCAGCGGAGGGGAGAGAGUGUGAGUGUUUGAGAUCUGAAAUGGGAAAUGGGAAAUGGGAAAUGGGAUAGGAGUGAGACGGCUAGGGUUUGUAAAGUUAAGAAAUUUUAUAAAGCAUUAAAUUUAAGAAACCUAUAAAUAACUUAUUGGUGCAAUUAUAACAACUCAAAGCCUACAGUCAAGUUAGCUUGCAGCGAUUAACCCCAACAUGCAGGGAAGGGGUUUAAACCUUGACGCCAACACGUUUUUCGUAUUUAUAUAUGAUAUUUUUUUUCGGUUCGGUUCGAUUUCUGGACCUCAAAAACUGAAACCGAACCAGCCAGAUUUGGUUUGGUUUGGUAGUUUCGGUUCAAUUUUUUUCAGCUUCGGUUCAGUUUGGUUUUUUAUUUUUUUCGGAUUUCGGUUUUUUGAACCCACCCCUAGUUUACACUAUCUCAUUAGAAGGAUAAGGAGAUGUCAAAGACAAGUUACUGAGAUCUGGAGUCAUAUGGUUUAUGGCCUUUGAGUCAGUGAGCCAAAUUUGUGGUUGAUGAUGAGGUGUGGUAGCUAAAGAUGAAUGAGAAGAGACUGUAUGCAUAGCCUGGAUAUUGGACUGAGGAGAAAAGUUGGUGCUGAAGGAGCAUAAGCAUUGCUUGACAUUUGAGGAUAAUAUAGACCACCCAAGUUGGGGACCUUUAUCAUUGAAAAAACAAUACCAGGUAGGAUGAUUUGUCUUGCCACAGAUUUGGCAUCCCUGGCUUUCCAACUAUUUUGAAUGAUAAAAUAGAGCAGUGUGGCCAAGCUGAUUACACAAUUGACAAGGAACUUGCUGUGUAGAAGAGUGUUCAAGAUACUGUGAUGGAGAAGGUCCAAGAACACUAGAGAAUACAGGUGCUGAAUGUGAACCAUGAUUUGGAAAAUGUUGUCUAGAAUUAGGAUUAGGAUACCUAUAUCCCUGAUUGUAUUUUCCUUUACCCUUCUUGUUAUUGUGGAAAGAGCGAUACCCACCUGAGGGACCAGAAUUAUGAACUGAAAAACCAGGAUUAGCACCACCAUAUUGAUGUUGAGAUGUAGAGAAUUUAGAACCACCAACGUUAUUAGCCACCAUGGCAGACAUAAACUGAGAAUUCACAUUGCUGUUAACAAUCAAUUCUUUAGUAAGAAGUUGCACCCUGAAUUCUUGGAGAGAAAUAACACUUUCACGACCCCGUAUAACACUACGAAAAGUAUUGAACUCAGGAGGUAGACCAUUGAGUGCUAAUAUAAUAAUAUCCUCAUCUGCAAAAGUAACUCCAGCAACAGAGAGAUAAUCUCGAGCUUCCUUAAUCUUUUGUAGAUAUUGAGACACAAAAUCAGCCCCUUUCUUAAUAGUUUGAAGAUUUGACUUGAGCUGAAAAAUACUAGUCCUAGAAACAACAGAAAAUUGUUCCUUUAACCGAGUUCAAAUAUCAUAAGCACUUAUGCUUCCAAUAGCACAUGAAAUUGCAACAGAUGACAAAGUUGUAGUAAUCAACUGCAUAAGGGCACGAUUGUGCAUCUUCCAAACAAUGUAAUCUUCAUUCUCAGUUUGAGUAGAAGAAUGUGCAGCAUCAACACCAGAAGCAUUGGAAGUAGCAUAACAAGUAAUAAAGCGAGAUGGACAAGAGUGGAGCCAUCAACAAAUCCCAUGAUACCAUGUCCCUCAAGCAACAAUUGCAUUUGGAAUUGCCAAUUCAAGUAAUUAGAAUCAUCAAGCUUAACAUUCACAGCUGUAGAAAUUGUAUAUAUAAGACCAGUAAUAGGCGAUUGGAGAAUUUGUAAUUGAGAUGUAGUAACCAUAUUUGCAUAAUUGAGAUGGAAAAGUCAUAGAGGAAAUAUCACAAAUACCUGGUGUGCACAAUCUUAUAAUCGCAGAAAGAAGGAGAUGAAGAAAUCUAGAAAUCACAAAGGAAGAAAAUACCAAAAUUCAUCCAAUAACACAACAAUAUACUUUCGUCGAGAAACAAAAAGAAUUAGAGAUCGAGAAGUCGAGCGGAAGUGGCCGAAGGAUCGGAGAAAACAGCGUAAGCAACAAUGGCGAUUGAUACCAUGUUAAUGUAGAGAGGGAGAGAUUGAAAGAGAAGAUCAAAAUUUCAAGAACUAGAUAGAGAAAGGUUUUAAAGAGAGAGAAAAUCUACAUAAUUGUUAUAUUGGUUUUUUUCUUUAAUCAUUAAGCUAUUACAAUGAUGCAUUUAUAUAGAGAACACACUUUCUAACAAACUAACUAAGGCUUACAAUCGUGUGACAAGUGACACAAUCCUAGCCACUGUCUAUAUCCUUACAAUUCCGUCAAUUAUACCAUGUUUUCUUGUAGAAAUGGGGUAAAAAAUUGAAGAUAAAUAAAAUGGAUUUUAAUUUCUGGGUUGAGAAAGCUUUACAAUUGAAAGGUUAAGGAGCUAGGGUUAAGGGAGAAGGCGAGGAGUUCAGUGCAGGGAGGGGAGAGAGAAAGGCUAGUUGAAAAUUAGGGUUGGGCAAACUUUGUAUUUAUAUGAGGGGUGAAGUACUGUAGAAUAGCAUUAUUAAAUGAAAAAUAAGUCAUUUAGUACCACGGUCUAGUAGUAUUCAUUUUCGCUUAUGAGUGAGAUAUUUUAGGUUCGAGUCUCGCCAAAUGUGAAGUUGAACCAUAUUAUUGCUAGCUCAUUGUGAGGCACAACCCACCCCCUCCUCCUUAAUGCAGAUAAUAUCGUUAGUAAAAAAAAAAAAAAAUUUCUUUGACAGAAAAAAGGAGAAGAAAACUGAAAAAGAAAAAUAAAAAAAAUCAGCUCCCAAAGUUGAAAAACACAUAACGUAUCUUUGGUGUAAAUUUUUUUAUAGUUUGACACCAAUGAAUGGUGUUAUAAGGGUUAAAACCAUUGGUGUUACAAAAGUUUAAGACACCAAAUUUUGACAAUAGUGACACUUCAAUUUACAAAGCCACCGAUGAAGAAGGGUGUCCUCAAAAUGGUGCCCCAUAGCCAAGGAAGAAAAAAUCGAUAAUAUCGGCGAAAUAUCAUAUUAUCGUUUUUUUAGAGGUCCGAUAUUUUUUUAACUAUCCAAAUGAUUUUCGUCAAAAUAUCGAGAUAUUAUCGAUAAAUAUAUUUUCGAUAUUCCAAAUUAUAAUAUAUCGCGAUAUAAUACUAAAAAGUACUUAAAUAUGUUGAGAAAACUCAACACAUACUUCACUUGAUCAUAGCCAAGGAAGAAAAAAUCGAUAAUAUCGGCGAAAUAUCGCCGAUAUUAUCGUUUUUUUAGAGGUCCGAUAUUUUUUUAACUAUCCAAAUGAUUUUCGUCAAAAUAUCAAUAAUAAUAUCGCGAUAUUUCAAAAUUAUCGAUAAUAUCUAUAAUAUAAUACUAAAAAGUACUUAAAUAUGUUGAGAAAACUCAACACAUAAUUCACUUGAUCAUUUUAGCCCAAAGGCGAUUUUUCGAAAGAACAAGCUAUGUUUUUUCUCAGCAGGGGAAUGUGGGUUUUAUAGGACAAAUUGCUUGCUCACUGCUCUCGCAUGGGCGAUGUGGGACUCGCCCAAUGAGAGAGAAAAUCAGAAUUUCGGCCGAAAAUUUACACCCACUUUAAACGGCCAUAACUUUGUCAAAACUUAACGAAAUCAAGCAAGACAAAAACGAAAGUUGUAGCCCUCGAAGAGACGAAGAGAAUGGUACCUCACACGACGUCACUGAGGUCGCCAGAAACUGGGUAAGAUUCAAAUGAGUAUAACGUUUUCAAUACUCAACGAAAUUGAGUGAAACAAAAAGGACAGUUGUACUACUCGCCGAGACGAAGAGAUUGAUACCUUGUAUGCCGGCCAACUCGCCGUGGUUUGGCCGGACAUUGCCUCGAAAGCCACUGAGGUCGCCGAAAACUGGGUAAGAUUCAAAUUAGUAUAACGUUUUCAAUACGCAACGAAAUUGAGUGAAACAAAAGGAAGCCCUCGAGAGAAAGAAUGGUACCUCACACGACAUCUGACUCGUUGUGGUUUGGCCCGGAAAUUGCCUCGAAAGCCACUGAGGUCGCCGGAAACUGGUAAGAUUCAAAAUGAGUAUAACUUUUCAAUACUCAACGAAAUUGACAAAAAGGAAAGUUGUACUACUCGACUCGACGAGGAGAUUGAUACCUUGCACGCCGACCAAAAUUCAAUUGACUCCUGGCUUUCCAAAAUUCAAUUCUUUUACUUUAUAUAAACUUGAAAAAAAACAUAAUCGGCAUCCAAAUUAUUAAAGUUUAGUCUUAUUCAAUGUAUUUGAUUUUCAAUCGUUAAUUGAUAUACUAUAAUUUGGAACUUCAACGCCUAGACGCAUGCUUAUGUGUAAGAAAUUUAAAGUGUCAAAUUUGGCACAUUAUUCUUCAUCAUUUUAUUCACUUCCCUUUUUUUUUUUUAAUAUCCUAAAUAAAACCUCCAAAUAUUUUACUAAUUAAAUGAUAUGAUUAUGUUGUUGUUAAACUUAACAUAUUUUCUAUACUCACAAUGUUUGCCAGCUUGUAUAUAAUCAACUUAAAUUAGUUAAAUCCAUCAUGCAAUGCAUUUCCUUCCAAUUUUUUGUGAUAAACUAAUAGAUAAUUGACUAAAUAAACAUCCUACAAAGUUUCAUUAAAAAUUUCCAAGUUUUUCUUACAAUUUCCGUGGUUUCCAUGUAAUUUUUAUCGAUAUCGAUAUUAUCCCGAUAUUUCCAUCGAUGUUUCCGUGUUUUCGGACUACCGAUAUUUCCGAUAUUACCGAUAUUUUCUUCCUUGCCUAUAGCACAUUUUCUAGUAGUGCUCACUACAAACUAAAACAAGAUAUAUAAAGGAAAGAGAUUAAACAAAUUAAACCGGACACAGCCAUACAUCUAUACUCUCCUCACACAAGAUUCCAAAGACGCAUCAAAGUGUCUCACCAUAAUAUAUCUCACUAUAAACUAAAACAGGAUACAUAAAGGAAAGAAAUUAAACAAGACACAGAUUCACACUUCACUAUAAGACUCUGACGUUCUAGAUUGAUAUCUCUCCCUCUAUUCCCAACCAAACAUCUUCUGCAGGCCAAGAACAAGCUCAUACACCUUCUUUUCGUCAGCAAGAGAUUUGGAAACACUCUCCCUCUGCAUGCACCUCUUGGCCCAUGCAAUGAGCUUGGGACACUCGGCCUCGAUGCUGAAGUUUCCACAGAUCUCAUAUGCAUGGAACCAGCAGUAGAACGUGAUGAGAGCAAUGUCCAAGAACCCAAAUUUCUCACCCUCAAAAUAUGGCUUGUCUCCAAGCUGUCCCUCCAACUGCUUCAGGAUUUCGAUGAAGUCCUUUUUUGCUGCCUCUUGUUCCUCUCCCUUUGUCAUCCAUAUCUUCGUGCAAGCAUCAUAUAGCUGCAAUUUUAAGACAAGAUUGCAUCAGAUCAUUGCUAUAGCGAGUUCAGUGGGAUUAAUUAAAUUUUGACUUCUUUUCUAAUUCCCGCGGCUAUAUUUGUUUAGGGUUUUGUAAGUUCCAAUGAUUGAACUUAAGUAGCAAGAAAUGGAUCACAAAAUAGCAGAGAUCACAAAAGCCGUUCAUGAAAAUUAACGAGGCAUGCAAGAUAGAUUUGUAAAGAAAGUCAGGAAUUCUACCGUAAAACUAAUUGAUAAUAUAGAAAGUAGCUCAAUUUAUUUAUAAGCCCACGCAAGUUCUUUUAUUAAUUUAGAAUUCAUUUUCAACACGCUCUUUACGUGUGAUACAUUUAUAAACUUACCACAUAAACAAUACAACAAGAUAUCGUGAAGUGUGUGUGCCCGUUUAACUUCACACAAGGACCAUACUUUGUUACCAUGAAAAAAAUUGAAAUUCCACCGUAAAAUCAAUUAGCAAUAUGGAGAUUGAUCCAACUUAUUGAAGUGGGUCUAUGUGUUUUUUUAUUAAUUUUUAAAUGCUUAAAAAUUAAUUAGAACGGUGAACGGCCGCAUAGCAUCUAAAAACUAAUCAGAAUGAUGACUAAGGGUCUAACGCUUAAGUGGGCUAGAUAGCAUUAAACGAGAAUUUUUAGAAUAAUGCCUCCAUAGCCCAUAAAAAAUUGUAUUUUGCUCCUCAUGUCAAACUGUUUAUGCUAAGAGCAACUCCAGUGUAGGAGCCCUCCCCCAGGCAAUUCACUAUUUAAUCCACCUAGUGAACAGUAACUGCCCUUAAUGAAUAGUGCAUUCCCCUGUCAAUUGCCUUUUGCAUCUCCACCCCUGCACUGAAUAGCCCUGGCAAUUGGCAAUAAAAUAUUAAUAUUUUUUUAUUUAUAAAAUAAUACAUAAUAAUUUUAUUUGUAAUUUCGGAUAAGAUUUUUAAUCGUUCUCGUUGCACCACGUGUCAUUAUCCGAAAAGCCAAUAGCAAUAAAAUUUUUGUAUUUUUGUAUUUAUAAAAUAAUUCAAAAUAAUUAUAUUUGUUAUUUCGGAUAAGAUUUUUAAUCGUUCUCGUUGCGCCACGUGUCAUUAUCCGCAAAGAAAAUUAUUGGUGAUGGAUUUCCGAUAAGAUUUUUAAUCGUUGUGUCAAGGCACGUGUCAUUAUCUGAAAAGACAAUUAUUGGUGAUGGAUUUCUGAUAAGAUUUUUAACCAAUCACGUCGUGCCACGUGUCACAAUCCGAUUACAAUCUUUGAGGAUAGAUUUCCACCAGAUUUUUAACGAAUGACGGCAUGCCACGUGGCAUUAUCUACAACCUAAUCCCUUCUAAAUCCUCCAUAUAAUCCCCCAUCCAUCCUCAUAAAUCUCACACCAAUUUUCUCAAGAUCUCUCUAUCAUUAUUCAUAGUUUCUGCUUCCUUCUUCGCCAAAAUCCCUAUCAUUAUUCAUAGUUUUUGCUUCCUUCUUCACCAAAAUCCCUAUCAUUAUUCAUAGUUUCUGCUUCCUUUUUACAAUGUCUUCUUCUUCUUCUUCAAAGAUGAUGUGGGAAAUCGAGCAAGAAGAGGAAGAAUUGUUUAACCAAUCACAAGGAAUGUUCAAUGUUAGGGAUUGGGCCCAAAAUGAGAUGGAAGAGGAUGACGAGCGUAGACGGAGAGAUGACGAAUCAAGAAUGGCAGGAGCCUCACAAUCCCGUCGAGUCGUCCAAGCUGUGGCUCAUAUCUGCAGGCCCAACCGUGCUGUAAAACAUUGAUAGAAACAGGCAACGACGAGGUCAGGAGCUCUUGGACGAUUAUUUUGUCCGUAACAGUGCAUUCCCUGAAACAUACUUCCGACGUCGUUUUAGAAUGGAACGACAUUUGUUCAACAAAAUCAUGGGCGCUGUUUGCAACCAUGAUUCUUACUUUGUGCAAAAGCCGGAUGCUUUUGGUGCUAUGGGUCUCCUGCCUCAGCAAAAAAUUACUGCUGCCUUGCGGAUGCUUGCAUAUGGAGCAGCUGCAGACCAAGUGGACGAGAUAACGAGGAUGGGACAAUCAACCAUUCUUGAGUCCCUCAUGAGGUUUUGUUCGGCAAUCGAAUCUAUCUACACCGCAGAGUACCUCCGGAGACCUACUCAUAUGGACUUGCAAAGGCUUCUGAAGAAAGGCGAGAUGCGAGGUUUUCCAGGGAUGAUUGGAAGCAUUGAUUGUAUGCACUGGACUUGGAAAAACUGUCCAAGUGCAUGGCAAGGCGCUUAUGGGGACAGAAAAGGAUCAAAAAGUAUCAUUUUGGAGGCGGUGGCAUCUUUUGAUACAUGGAUUUGGCACGCCUUUUUCGGGGUUCCGGGAGCUCAAAAUGACCUCAACGUCCUUGCCCAAUCCCCAGUGUUCAACGAUGUCCUGCAAGGAAAUGCACCAAAAGUCACGUAUGAGGUCAAUGGACGUAUGUACGACGGGCCAUACUACCUAGCUGAUGGCAUUUACCCAAGGUGGUCAACAUUUGUCAAAACAGUGCCACGUCCGCGCAGUGCAAAGGAAAAACACUUUGCAAGAUGUCAAGAAGGGUGCAGGAAGGAUGUGGAGCGUUGUUUCGGUAUCCUCCAAGCUCGCUGGGCGAUCAUCAGGGGUGCUGCCAGAUUGUUUGAUGUAGAGUCACUUCGAUCCAUCAUGAUGACGUGCAUCAUUCUUCACAACAUGAUUGUGGAAGAUGAGUACGAUUAUGAAGCCGUUGAUGAAUAUGAGCCAGACACGAUGAACAAUUCAAGAACACGUAUAUAUUGUGCUCAUGACGCCACCGAUGAGCCCGUGCAACAUGAGCCAUUAGAAAGGGAUGGACGUUACAAUGAAAGGAUCAUCCAACGAUAUACUGCACUUCAAAGGUCAAAUAUGCACAAUGCCCGCCAACUUGACUUGAUAGAGCACCAGUGGGAAUUGAGGGGUGCUGACGAUACUUAAGUUCAUUAGUGUUUGUUUUUAUUUGGUGUGUUUAUUUUAUUUUAUGUGGUGUGUUUUUUUUUAGUUCAUUUAGUGAGUUGAAAUGUAAUUUUAUUUUAUUUGGUGUUUGUUUUUUAUUUGGUGUGUUUAUUUUAUUUUUAUGUGGUGUGUUUUUUUAGUUCAUUUAGUGAGUUGAAAUGUAAUUUUAUUUUAUUUGGUGUGUUUAUUUUAUUUUAUGUGGUGUGUUUUUUUAGUUCAUUUAGUGAGAUGAAAUGUAAUUUUAUUUUAUUUGGUGUUUGUUUUUAUUUGGUGUGUUUAUUUUAUUUUAUGUGGUGUGUUUUUUUAGUUCAUUUAGUGAGUUGAAAUGUAAUUUUAUUUUUUUUGGUGUUUGUUUUUAUUUGGUGUGUUUAUUUGGUGUGUUGAUGUUAUUUUAUUUGGUGUGUUUAAAUGUGUUUUUGAAUAAAGUACUAAGUUCAAUAAAUUGGAAACAACAUAAAGUACUCUAUUCAAUGAAUAAGAAAUUACAACCCGAAUAAGAAAUUACAACCCGAAUUGAUUGGAAAAUUAUGGGUUCGUGAAUGGAUGAUAACCAUCACCUAACCAAUUUGUGGUGCUAGGAUGAUCUUCUCUUGUCAUGCUAGGAUAAUCUUCUCUUGUGGUGCUAGGACCAUCUCCUCUUGCUCUCGCUUCUCUUGCACGCCUCCUUCGCAACACAUCCGCUUUCUCUGACUUCCAAAAAAUAUUUAGAGUCUGGAGACUUCCCUUCUAAAGGCUCCUUCAUAAUGUCACGAUCUCGUUCAGCCAUUCUUUCUUCUCUUCUAUGUUCCCUUUCUUGCCGAAGUAGUUCUCUUUCUCUCUCAUCAGCUUCAAAUUUUCUCUCAAAAGCUGCAGCUUUUGCAUCCUCUCUAGCCUUAUCAGCCUCAAAUUUAGCCAUUUCCCGGGCCAAAUUCAAUUCACCUUGGCGGGCAAGAUCUUCCAUAUACUUUGCAUAAUCAUUCUUGGAAGCAUUACCUUUUCUCUUUGAAGCCUUCUUACCUUGAGGCCUAAUUGGAUAACGGGUCGACCCCGACGCUUGUUCAACGGGGGGCGUUUCAGGCACUUCUUCAUCAUCUUCAUCAUGAUCAUGCGAGGCAUGCUCAGGUGUAGAGUGUAGAGGGGUGCUGUUCAUGAAAACUUCUGGACCGACAUGCACAACUCUAAAUUUAGGACAAUCUUUGACAAUAUUCCAACAUUCAAACCGGGUGAAUGUUUUGUUUUUGCUUUUGGUUUUGGCACUAUACCAAGCUUGUGCUUGAAGUUCCUACACAAACAAAUAAUUAUAAUGAGAAUAGGUAACAAAUAAAUAAUUAUAAUGAAAGUAUGUAACAAAUAAAUAAUACAAACAAAUAAUUAUAAAUGAAAGUAGCUAACAAAUAAUUAUAAUGAAAGUAGGUAACAAAUAAAUAAUACAAACAAAUAAAUAUAAUGAAAGUAGCUAACAAAUAAUUAUAAUGAAAGUAGGUAACAAAUAAAUAAUACAACCAAAUAAUUAUAAUGAAAGUAGGUAACAAAUAAAUAAUACAAACAAAUAAUUAUAAUGAAAGUAGCUAACAAAUAAUUAUAAUGAAAGUAGGUAACAAAUAAUACAAACAAAUAAAUAUAAUGAAAGUAGCUAACAAAUAAUUAUAAUGAAAGAAGAUAACAAAUAAAUAAUACAAACAAAUAAAUAUAAUGAAAGUAGCUAACAAAUAAAUAAUAUAUUGUUACCUGAUCCGUUAAAUUUUCCCCACUUCGAAGAUUACCACUAGCUUGUGCCAAGGCGUCUCUCCACGUACUAAACGAUUGACUAAGUAAUUUCCAACGACUGGACAUCGAUUCCUUAGUUCUUUGCCCACCCAUUUUCUCAAGAUAAUUGGUAUGAAUAAGACUCCACAUUUCUCGCAACUGCAUCUCAUUACCCGUAAUCGAAUCAUGAGUAACUUGAACCCAACUAGUACACAACGCAACAUCUUCAAGAAGCGUCCAAUUCGUACCUGGUUGAGUAGUCAUUUUGUUGGAAAAAAAUUGGAUUGAAACUUUGAAAGAAAGAUAGGAAUGUGGUUGAAAGUAGUUGAGAAAAUAUGAAAUUGUGGUGUAGGGUAGAAGAUAAUGAGAAGGUAUUUAUAGGUGAAGUGAAAUCAAAAUUUUUUAUAAUUUUUCAUAAUUUUUUUUCGGAUUUUUAAGAAUUUUUUUACAUUUUUUUUUAAUUUUUAUUCACCUAAUUAAUCUCUGCCGUUGGAUUUAAAAAAAAUUUAAAUUCCAACACUCCAGAUUGUGCCACGUGUCACAACGGUAACAUUUUAGAUUUUUAAACUGUUUUUUCUUUUUUUUUUUUUAAUUUACAAAGCCUAAUAACGUGGACCGUUGAUCUUAGAUCAAACGGAUGAAAUUAAAUUAGAUUUUUAAAUGUUUUUUACCGUUGGAAAUCCAACGGCCCAUAAAAUAGGACCGUUUCAAUCAAACGGACAUGGGGAAGCCACGUGGCUUCCCCAACGGUAACUUUUCAAAACUGAAAUCGCGGGCCCCUGCCCUGUUUUUUUGUCGGACGACUCGCGCCCACGCGCGCGUGAAACGCACGCGCCUGACGCAGCCCUCGGGCUCUCGGGCUGGCAAUCCUCGACGGGCCUGCUCCUCGGGCCUCGCCUGUCGCUCGGGCUUCCAUACGCUGGAGGUCAUCCCCCCAGCAAUUUGCUACUGUUUGACCCACUGGCCCCCGAGCAACCUCCCCCGCUGGAGGUGCUCUAAGGAUACAGACUUGAAGAUUGUACCUCAUCUAACUAUUCAUCCAAAAGAAAAGAAAGUGGGCUCUACCGCAUAUAUAUCAAAUUUUAAUGAAAAUCAUGAAAACCCCAAAUCACAUCCUAACAUGAACCUAAAAAACCAAACAAUUAAUUAGAAUAAGAAACGACUCAGACAAUUUAAGUUACCUUCUUGUCAAUGAAAUCAGCCCAGAACCUUGAGUGAGCUUUCUGGUAAGGCUCAGAGGGAAGCAAAGGAGCUUUAUCCCUCCAAACCUCAUCAAUAUACUGCACAAUAAUGAGUGACUCGCAGACCGGCUUACCGUUAUGAAUGAGAACCGGGGUCUUCUUGUGAACCGGGUUCAUCUGCAGAAGCAUCUGGCUCUUAAUAUUAUUCCUCAAGUCCUCCUCUCUGUACUCAUACUUGACGCCCUUCUCCGCCAGCGCUACUCUGGCCCUCAUGCCAAACUUGCUGGCCCAGUAGUCUAGAAGAACAACCUCAUCCGCCAUUUUUGACACACACACAACUACUUCUAGCUGUAGGCUAUAGUGUUUUGCUUGAUGCUAAAAUAUUCCAGAUAGAUAUUCACACACACAUAUAUAUAUGGAAUCCGGAUUCUCGCUAGAUUUUUUUUUGUAAGAAUUUCUAAAUUUCGCAAAUACAAUAAACAUAUAUAAUUCAUAAUUUUUCAAGUUUCUUGUUAAAAGAAUCCGAAGAGGGUCGGUAAUAUAUUUACGUAUAUACACAUACGUGGCAAUAAGGGUGUGGCUGAUUUUUGAAGGGUGUGACGUGGCAUGCUGUAUGCCAUUACUUUCGGUGACGUGGCAUGCUAUAUGUGAAAAGCACGACAAAGUCAUGCAUGCAUUAUUUGUUUUGUUUUGGUUUUUUCAACCUUCAACUUUAUUUGAUGGUAACAAGCAACAUUAUUUAAAUAAAUAAUGUUUGAAAUAUGCGAUGAGUUACUUUCAGUCAACAAUGGCAAAUUCAAGAUUUGAAUAAUUGGGGUUUCAAUGUUAAAGAUUAAUUUUGUAAUAAAAGAAAUUACACUGUACGAAUGUGUAGUGUUUGAAUUCAAAUUUCACUUUAUUUAUGAAAGUGCCAAGUAGGGGGAGAAAAACCUUUUUACAAAGAGUCUACAGCUUUAUGUGAAAAGCACAACAAAGUCAUGCAUGCAUUAUUUGUUUUGUUUUGGUUUUUUCAAUGGAAUUUUAUCGAAAAAUUUAUGGUACUGUUCAUUUAACGAAAAACUAUAUUUUUACAUUAAAAAAUUAAUCAUGGUACUAUUCACUUAUAACACUUUUUUGUCAUUUUCGUUAAAAGUUAAAAUUUUCAAACUAUUUUCAUUAGUUUUUUUUUUUUUCAACCAUCAACUUUAUGUGAUAGUAACAAGCAACACUAUUUAAAUAAAUAAUGUUUGAAAUAUGCGAUGAGUUAUUGUUAGUCAAUAGUGGUAGAUUCAAGAUUUGAAUAAGGGGUGUGAUAUCCACACAUCAUUUUUACUUCUCUCACAUCCUUUUAAUUUUCGACAGUCGAAUCAGAUGAAUUAAAGAAUAUCAAAUGACGGAAAUUAACAAAUGAUGUGUGGAUAGCACAUCCCUUAAAUAAUUAGGGUCACAAUCAGGGCCGCCCCAGGCCCAGUGCAAGCAGGGCGACCGUCCGGGGCCCAAAAAAAUUAGGGGCACCAAAAUUAUUAGGACGGUAUAUUUAUAUAUGUUUUUAUAAGAGUAUAAAUUUAUAAAAUUUGGUUCAAAGACAUAGAAAUUUAACUAGAAAUGGUGGUUUGUCAUUUGAAAAUAAUGAGAAGGUCUUGGGUUCAAAACACCAUGUGUGCUUAUUUACUCUCCAUUUUUUACAAAUUUCUUUUUAUAAGAGUAUAAAUUUAUAAAAUUUGUUUAAAUGAUCAAGAAAUUUAAUUAGAAACAAUGAUUUUUAUUGUUUAAAAUUAACAAGAGGUUCUAAGUUUGAAAUGCUAUGUGCAUGUUUAUUCUUUUCAAUUUUUUAAAAUUUUUGUUUGAUUGUUAAUUUAUUUUUAGUUACUAUCUAUUAGCUAUGUGGGUUGUUAUUUUUAAAUAUUUGUUUUCAUUCAAGUCUAAUCUUCAACAAAGAGUAAUAUGUAGACCAAAUUUCCAAAUUAUAAGACGUGUCAUCAAAAUGUUUAAUUUAGUGCCCAUUCAUUAAUAAUACAUAUCAAUUAAAGACUCGAGAACAUCAUUAUUUUUAGUACCAUAUUGAUAAGGUUAGUAAAUAAGAAAAAAAAAACACCUCACAAUUUAUUCAAAAACACAUUCAAAGUUCAGAUGGAAAACAAAACUCAUCAUCUAUCUACUUGUAAGCCCGAAGUUUUUUUGUUUCCCUCUCUCAAUACAAAAUAAAUUAGUCUUUCUGUGUUUCUAAAUUAUUGAAUUUGAAGUGUUUUUCUAAGUAUAAUUUUAUCGAUGUCUUAUGUGUGAAAAUAAAUAAUUUUCUUACAUGAAGUUAGAGCACUUUUUUUGACGUCGCCCCGAGCCUCAAAAAUCUAUGGACCGGCCCUGAUCACAAUAUUAAAGGUUAAUUUUUUAAUAAAAAUAGAGCAAAGUGUGCAAAAAAUUUUAUUCACUGAGUCAUUGCUUAAAAAGGGUAGGAGACAGAGACACACUUUUCUUUUUCUUUUUUUAUUAAUUUUUUUCUUUUCUUUUUCCACAUUUCAAUAUUUAAAAAAAAAUUGUAAUAUAAUAUCCAUAGAUUCGACCAACCGACGCCUCAGAGGUUGAAGGAAGGAAGAUGCCAUCAUCCAUCAAAGAAAACCUCUCCGAAUGCAGCCACCAGGUAGAAAAAACGAAGGAAGCUAGUGGGAUCCCCAUUUGCGACAUUGCCAACAAAGGCAGACCAAGAGAAGGAGGUGGUGCGAACAACCGUGCCGAUGGGAACACCAGAGCUCUACACAUCCUUUCGAUAUACCACAACAGAUUGCGGUUGAAAGUGAUGGCAAAUCGGCUAAGGUAAGGUAUUGAUGAAAGAUGGAGCCUAUGUUUAUUGUUUAGGACCGAUUUGCAUGAAUAUUUCUCAACAUUUAUACGAUAUAGAGAGAUAGUGGGAGAGGGGAGACAGAGCGACAAAGAAAGAGGAUUAUUGCUUUUUGUCUUAUUAUUUUUAUAAAAAAAUAAAUAUAAAAGGUUAACGUCGUGAACGUACAAAAUAAGGGACGAGAGGGCAGAGAAGCGGGAGGGCAGAGAAGCCGGGUCUGAGGGAGGAGAGGGGAUCCUCGAUUUCAUGAGUGGGAAAGGGGGUACAGUCAGAGAAAAGCAUGGGGUUAGGGAUUUCAGAUUUCAAGGGGGGAGAGAGGCUGUGCUUCGUUUCGAUGGGGCCGAGCGUCUAUGAUUCGAUCGGAUCGAGGUGAUGGGGACAACGUGAGGGGUUGAGGUGGCGUCGGGAAGGUAUGUCGUUUUUUUCUUCCCCUUCUAAUUCUCAUCUUCAGUUCACGUUGCUGAUGCAUAAACCCAUCAGUUCCUCUGUAAUUCGUUUAGUUUUUCAUUAUUCUUCUUCGAUUUCUUUUGUCAAAAUUGAAAUGGAAUUUGUUGGCUUGAUUUUGUAUUAGGUUGCGAGAGGGUUCUGUUUCUAGGGUUUUCUCCGUCUACCUCUCUGUUUCUCUUCUUCAAUCAGUCUGACGUAGUUUUGCAAUUUAGGGUUCAGUGCAUUUCAAUCUUUUUUACUGGAAUAUACAUACAUAUAAAUGUCUAAAUUUGUUCAAUUUUUCUAUACACAGGACUGGGUUAAUUUGAUUCUUCACCUAUGAUUGGAUAUUAUAUUACAAUUGUGGGUUCUGUUUUGAGGGCUGGAUGAAAAGAAACACCCAUCAGAGCUUCUAACAACUCGAAGGUAAGGAAUUCCAUCGCGUUUGUUGAAAAUAUUUUUCACUUUCUGGAUGUGCAAAGUCUGGAUAGUACACAUCACCGGGCCAAACCUUUCCCAGGAAAGGAAUUCCAUCGCGUUUGUUGAAAAUAUUUUUCACUUUCUGGAUGUGCGAAGUCUGGAUAGUACACAUCACCGGGCCAAACCUUUCCCAGGAAACGAAUUCCAUCGCGUUUGUUGAUAAUAUUUGCUUCCUUUCAUCUGAUGUAUGUGUAUGUAUGAUGUAUGUGUGUGAUUUUAGAUUGUAAUGUAUCACAAAUUUAUGGCAUGAAAAUUGACAUUUGUAGACUUACCCUUUGUUUGGUGGCUGUGAUAAUUGGGGGAAAGGAAAAUAAAAUUUCAAAGAUUGAUACUUUUAUGUGAUUUCCUGGCUCUUUUUUUUUUUUCAUAUGAUUUUCAUUGUAUGUGUGCCAGUGUAUGUCUCUUCUUGAAACGUACAUGUUGAAAAUGGGAGAAUUUUGGACAUGACAUGUUUAGAAGUGAGGUUUUCUGAAUGAAGAUACUCUUAUGAUUUUUUUGUAAUUUGUUUUGCAAAUGGGUAGGAAUAUCAUUCUAAAAGGAUUUUGGCAGGAGGGGUGGAAUGUCAUUCUAAAAUAUGUGUAAUUCAAUUCUCUCAUUUUCUAUAGCAGAAUUGCAGAUUUCUAAAUCGGAAAGGAAAAACAAGCACUAUAGCAGUUUAUGCAGAAGGAGCAUGUAAAAGAGAAGCACAAGUAAAGGUUUCUAAGGUCAGUUGGCUGUUUUCUUUUUAGUAUUUUCAAUUUGUUCCUUUUAUUCUGUCUGCAAUUUUUUAAUCUGUGGUUAUGCAUCAAUUUCUCUGCUUCUUCUUUGUAAAUCUUGCAGAUCAGGAUGACACACCUAUCGGGGCAAUGUCGGGAUGUUUAGGCUUAGGUGGAGACGUGGACUUAUGGAAGAGGUGAAGUAGCUUAGCUCUCUGUCAUUAGCUUUAUCUGUUCUAUGCAUCUCUACAAUCUUACAAUGAUCUUUUAUUAAAUUGCAAGAUGUUGGGACCAGUUACUGGAAUACGAGAUAUGGAACAAAAGUGGUUGACAAUGCAAGAGUCGAAACCAAGUGUGAAAUUCACAUUGAAAAUGACAGGUGAGAAUGCUUAAUCAUAUUCUAAAAAAAUGUUGGGUUUCCUAAUGAGUUCUCUGAAUUCAAAAGGCUAAUUUAGUGAUUUGGAGUUAAUUUUGUAAAUUUAUUGAAUGAAGUCAUUUGUUAUUUAGCUUAUCUUGCGUUUGGUUUGGUUUGGUUUUAGGAGAGGGUUGCGCAUGAUCUAUAGGUUCAAUCAACCUCGCUGUUUUUGUGAGAAUCACAAUUAAAGGUCAGUUUUUCCAACAUUUUUUUUUUCUUUUGCGUGCAUGUUUGUGCAUGUUUGGUCUCUGAGAUUUUGUUUUUAGUCACCGUUGAUUUGUAAUUUAUGUCUCCCUUUGGCUACAUAUUGACACAGGUUUAUUCUCAGCAUUUUUUUGUUAGGGUAAGUGGUUUGGUGAGUUCUGUAUUAUUAUAUAAUCUUUGGGGCUAUUUUAAGUAAAAAUGAAAUGUUGACAUUGAUAUAGCAUACGGCACACUUAAUUCACACUCCUAUAUUCGGUCUUCAUGUUUCCAUUUCAACACUCUGCAUUUCCCACCCAAUGAAUUUUUUAAUAAAGACGUAGUUAAAGCAAUUACAUGCUCUAUCAAGUAUGUUUUAUAUGUAGUUGUGGUAGUUGCAAGGAAAUGAAAUAUUUGUGCUGAUAAUUGGUAGUUUAAAUAUAUAGAAAUAAAGAAUAAUUAUAAAUGGAGCACCAAGGAUAUUUAACAUUGUUUUCUUUUCCAUGUAAUUUUUCUCAUGUUUAACAUCUGCUUUUGCUUAUGCAUUUGAUUCAAGUGCUAUUUUUAUUAGUGUUAAUUUUGGGUUGCAUAUCCACAUACUAACCCAGUUAAUUUUGCUUGGUGUUGAUGCAUAAGGAGAACUCCCAUUGCAUCAACUUGAACAAACAUUCUUCUACUUAGUUGCUUAGCUGCUGAAACAACAACGAAACACUUUUUAUGUUUUUUUGUUUAACUGCUAAUACAGGUGGCUGGCCUGCAUGGCAUAUAUUUUGCCAUCUUAACUUCAAGGGUAAUAUAUGUGUAAAAUGCAUGUUGCUUAGGGAAACAGAGCAUUUUUUUUUGCAACCACAUCUUUUUGUAAUUAGCUCGGUUGAAUGUAUAUAAAAGUCAAGCUGCUUAUCUUACCGACACCGUUCACUCAUCUAUCCCUUUUGUUAGUUCAUGAUUAUGUUGAAUUUUUUUCAGGUUAAAUUUGUCUUAUUCAUGUAGUUAAGGUUGGUGUAUUUAAGUAGAAAUGUCGGGCAUAUUUACUAGUAUAAUCUAAAAACGGAACGGGGGACAUGCAUGCAUUUUUUGUGCGUGUAAUUUCUCAACUUCUCUUUGGUGGUGCAGGUGCUGCUGAAGCUAAUAGGCUUGAGCAAUGCUCCUUCAACAAAACAAGGAAAAAAGAGUUGUUCAAAUGGCAGUAUUCGAGUCUCUUAGUGUUUCUCAUUAAUAUUAUCAUUCUAAACGCACCAAUAACAUUAUCAUUUCCUGAUGCUAUAAUGCCCCAAAUAUUUUGAUUAAAAGUGAUGAACUGCAUAACCAAACGACAUUUACCUUCUAAUUUCCAUCAAAGAGCAACUUGUUAUUAACUCUGUCAAGUUUCUGCCAAGGGGAUUGCACUCUUCAACAUGGGAAGGAAACCUUCUGCUAGUAGCCAUGCUAAAUUAACACAAGCAACCAGGAAUUUGACUUGGUGGUGGGUAUGAACCAUUUACACUAAUUAAUCAACUGGCAGGAGGCAAAACUCUGCAUGAUUUUUAUUUUAUUUUUUGGUAAAUGAAUAAUUUUGCAUGUUAUCUCAAGAUGUGAGAUCAGUACUAGUUGGUUAAAUAUUGUUGAAUUGUAUAACACAAGCACUGUUCUAAAAAUCCCCGCCUAGGACCUGCUUAGGCGUUAGGCGGCUGGUCAUCGUCCCGAUUAAUGCUUAGAUGUUUAAGAAAAAAAAAAAAGGCGUCUAGACUUGUUUAGGUGCCCGCCUAGUCCGUCCAAACCCGUCUAGACACCAGCUUAGGUUGCUACUUGUUUACACAGAAAAUAGAUAAUUUUCAUUUGUAUUUUAUUUUUUUUUCAAUAAAUUAUAAGAGACUUAUUGAAUACUUAAAUGAACACAUAUUAUAUGCUUGUUCUCUAUGUUUUCAUUAUGUUCCAAUACCUCAUAAUAUAUAUGUUAUUUUAUUUUGUAGUUUAUGAUGAAAUUAUAUUUUAAAUAUAAACAGACGUUUAUUUACACGAAAUAUGAUAGAUUUACUUAAAUUCACUUAGGCGUUAGAUUCUAAACCGCCGUCCAAUUAGCGCCUAGCGUAUUUUAAAACCUUGAACAUAAGAUAGAAAAUAAGUAAAUAAUGCAGAAUACAAGAGGAUCAUAUGAUCCAGCAAGGAAAUUUUACAAAUGCAUAUCAAUUCACCAUUGGAUCAGUCUAGAUGUCGAUGGUACAGGUCUGCAAAACCUAAUUCCUGAUAACCAACAAUUUAUGACUGGAAGUUCUAGGAUGAUCGUAGUGACAAAUUAAAAGUCCAGUUCAAAGUCCAGUUCAAGUUCAAUUUUCAAUUUAACUUCCACAUGCACAUCACAUACCAAACUAUUUUACACAUAUGCAAUUAAAAAGAUAAAUAAAAUGUGCACACAAGAUGUAGGAUUUAACGAGGUAAAAUCCUGAAAAAAAUCUUUAGGCUCCUAAGCCAAGACAAACAGUACUAAGACAAAUGAAUUCAAAAGAUUUACAAAACUCAUCUUACUAGACUCACAACAAGAAAACAAUUUUGUCUCUACACUUUUGCUACUCGAUCUCUCCAAUCCUUGAGUGGGAGUGGCACAAUACUAAUGCGUCCGUCAAUCACUAUAUUCUCAAACUUUGCAGAAUACUAACUUAAUAAUGUAGAAUUUAUGUAUGAUGAAAUAAUUUUUGAAGAGCAAUCAAUUAUGAAAGUUACAAAGCACAUUUUUAUAAUUGAGUUUUACUUAAUGCAGGAAAAACCAAUGAUCAAAAACUAAUUUUUUUUUUCUAAAAACGAACGGCCGGCUGCAAAACCGGUUUUUAUUCUCUCAAAAUACUUUGAAAAAUGGACUCUUUGCAUACGGGCUGCUAUCAGAUUUUUCUUUCAUUAAUUUAAAAACUCAUUACAGGCCAAUUGUAGGGUAAAAAAACUGGAUUAGAGUGGUUCUUCUAGCAAAUAGGAAAGAGACUAUAGGGUGCAAAAGAAAUGGUGUAUGGUACUUGCAUUAGCAUGGUGCGCCUAUAAAUAUUUGGUCACUAGUUCAUCAAAAUUAUGCGGAGGGAAGUUGAAUUCGGGCGUAAAGGAAAGAGUGCAUUGCUCUAGCCAAUUUGAUUAAGCUUAAAUAUGCGAUAAUAUACUAAUCACGACAUCUGGAUGGUGCGUGAGUAAUAAAUACAAUGAGUUGACACACCAUAAGACUAAUAGACACACAUCAACAUUAAUUAUACGACUUACGUGCGGUAUGGACGGUUAUCUGUUGCGCAACUCUCAAAGUAAGUGAAAAACAAUACAGAUAUACAAGAUAAGUUUCCAUAAAGAUUCAUGAAUUGAGUUUACUGACUCGACAAAAAAAUCUUCAUUUUUGUUUUUGGAAAUUAAAAUAUAAAUCUUUAUGGCUUAACUCCGAUUCAUAUACAUUCAAAUUCACAGAAAAAUCCCUCACAAAAUCACAUCUCUUCCAAAACUGCUGCUGCUGCACUACCUAUUUAUACAAACUUCAAUGAAUUUUCACCUUUACCCCCACAACCAAUUCGUUCGUUUCAAACUUGACUACUUUUACUGACCAAUUUGUUACUGAAAUACUGAUAGUAAUUGCUGUUACUGUGGCUAUUAUUCUUGCAAUUUGAUGAUCGAGUCUUCACAAAUGAUAAUGGACUCAAAUUUGAGUCCUCAAUUUAUGAUAAUGGACUCAGAAAUUGACCUAGAGAGACUCACAUUUGACUCUCACUAUUUUUAAUUAUUCAUUUAUAUGUAUGAGGUCAAUUAUUUUUUUCCUCCAAUGACAAUGGAGGAGCAUUUGAGUCCCCAACUUUAUAAUGCACCAUACCAGAUCAUGUCCAAAAAGGUUGUUAGUGGACCUGCACCAAAUAUUGAUUUCCACCCUUGGACUCAUACAUCUAGACUCUUUCUCACACAAGAUUCGAAAGACGCAUCAAAGUUUCUCACCAUAAUAUCUCACUAGAAACUAAAACAAGAUACAUAAAGGAAAGAAAUUAGACGAAUUAAACUGGACACAGCUUGAGACUUCACUCUAGGACUUCGACAUUCUAGCUAGCAGCCUAUCGAUAUCUCCCCCUCUAUUCCACACCAAGCAUCUUCUUAAUGCUAAGAACGAACUCAUACACCUUCUUUUCGUCAGCAAGGGAUUUGGAAACACUCUCCCUCUGCUUGCACCGCUUGGCCCAUGCAAUGAGCUUGGGACACUCGGCCUCGAUGCUGAAGUUUCCACAGGUCUCAUAUGCAUGGAACCAGCUGUAGAACGUGAUGAGAGCAAUGUCCAAGAACCCAAAUUUCUCACCCUCAAAAUAUGGCUUGCCUCCCAGCUGUCCCUCCAGCUGCUUCAGGAUUUCGAUGAAGUCCUUUUUAGCUGCC